AGAGAUAUAGCACGGAGGCAGUGCCUCAGCUGCCUCACCCUUGUGGUUUCUUGCCAUCGACUUAUUGAACUGCUGGAUGAGCAGGAAGAGAUUGUUGAAGUCGUUUCCCGGCAGGUCAUUCAGGAAGAACUGAAGUUGUGGGUAGUCAUGUCGUCGGUCGUGUUCUUUGCAAUGGCGAGCUAUGAUGCCAAUCACCUCGGAGACGAAGCGCAGUGUGUUAGGCCCCGAUGAGCAGCCUAAGUCGGCCACGACCAUAGUUCGAGGGAGGAGAGCUGAGUAUGCUGCUCUAGUGGCCUCCUCAAGGACUGGCUUGAUCUGAAACAUAACUUUCUCCUGUUGCCAUCGAACAGAAACAUGUAAUACUUGAUCUGGAACAGAAGCAGGUAUAUAUAUAGAGAACACACAGCUUGUACCACAGUACGUAUGCAACAGUAGUAGCUGUGCAUGCUGGAAAUAAAUAAUGGAGAGUAGAUCUUUUACCUGAAUCCUAGAGUUUUUCGUGUAGCUAGUUUCUCCGUUCCCUGUGGCCAUGUGGAGAUCACGCUCGAUUGUCAUUGGCAUGGCUGCAACCUGCAAUCCGAGGCUUCAGCUAUGGUGGAGAGAAGAGAAGUACCCAAUCCAAAGCUCAGCACAUACAAGCACAACACAGUUUUGCAAUCUUAUAGAAAAGUUUGCCAUGUUUUUUGCACAUGCUCCUCCGAUCCUACAGCGCUAUUAUUACACAUGAAUCAGCUGCUCAUUUGUGUUCGACGUCAUCAACAGGAUCUCAUGAAUUUUAUGACCACAAAUAUUAAUUCGUUUUUUUCGUCGGUCAAGCCAAAGUGCGAUGAGUACGAUGUAAACUAUAAAUAAUACGAUACGUUCAUUGCUAGCUGCCAAACGAAGUGUCACUGUGAUCAUAAUCAUUCUGUUCAUUUCUGCACUGCCAAACGAAGUGUCACUGUGCGGGGCUUGUGCAUUGCUGGCGACCGGCCACCAACUCAUGUGCCUCUGCGUCUGUACCACACAGAUGGUCGCCAAUCAUCCGUUGUACAGAAAGUGGAUAGAGAUCGAGCAUGUUCCCUAUGCAGUAAGUGGAUAGGGAUUGAGUGUUCCCUAUGCGAUAUAGGAUAUACUAUCUCAGUUCUCGAAUAUUUGUAGUCCACUAGUUUAUUUUUAAACUAAACCACGACAAAUAAAAAAACGAAUGGAUAUCGGAUAUAAUACCUCAGUUCUCAAAUAUUUGUUGUCCACUAGUUUAUUUUUAAACCAAACCAAGACAAAUAAACGAAGAGAGUACUAUUUUACAUAUAUACACUAAAGAAUAUCAGAGGCGCUGGAAGAGAUUGGAAAACACCGUGAUGCCCCUGGCCGGUGUGCUGCAUGUUUAUAUAUGGGCAAUAACAACCAUUGCCGUGGUUUACAUUUGGAUAAUCAUGAGUCUGUUUCAGAUAAUCACGCAGAGUUGGUUACACGAGAUAAACUCUAAUACAAUCGACUAUAUGAGAUACGAUUGAUAUACUAACUCUGUGUUAUCUGUUACAGGCGCUUUGCUUUACACGCCCCCUCAAUCACAACUUUCUCAAGUUGAGAUUGUAUUUAAAGUUUUCUAAUUUCUUCACUGUAAGAGCUUUGGUAAAACCAUCUGCAAUAUGAUCUCCUGUGGGAACAUAGUCAAUGUCCAGUAAUUUCCUGGCGACACGCUCCCUGACAAAAUGAUAAUCCACCUCAAUGUGUUUUGUUCUGGCAUGAAAGACUGGAUUAAAUGAUAAAUACUUGGCACCCAUAUUGUCUACCCAAAGUUUUGCGACUGAGGGGCUUGAAACUUUCAGUUCAUUCAAGAGAGUUUGAAUCCACAUGAUCUCAGCUGUGGCAUUAGCUAGAGCUUUAUAUUCUGCUUCAGUGCUGGAUCGAGAUACUGUAGCUUGCUUCUUUGCAUUCCAUGACACUAAAUUAUUUCCAAGAAAGAUAGCAAAACCUCCGGUGGAUCUCCUGUCAUCGAGGCAUCCUGCCCAGUCUGCAUCUGAAAAUCUGCUCACUAGAAAGGAGGAAGAUUUGCACAAGCUUAGCCCAAGACUAAUACUAGAUUUAACAUAUCUCAAAAUUCUUUUUACUGCUGUCCAGUGAGAUGUGGUUGGAGCAUGUAGAAAUUGGCACACUUUGUUUACUGGAAAUGCAAUAUCUGGUCUUGUUAAGGUCAAAUACUGCAGGGCCCCAACUACACUUCGAUACUGAGUAGCAUCAUUUGGCCCAAGCAGAGAACCUUCAUGAAGAUGUAAUUUUUCACUUGUGGAUAACGGAGUACUCUCAGGUUUACAAUUCGCCAUGUUUGUCCUCCGUAGUAAAUCAGUUGCAUAUUUUUCCUGUGUUAACAUGAUAUCGUUUUGUGUCUUGUUUACCUCUAUACCAAAGAAGUAGUGAAGAUUCCCUAAGUCCUUUAGAGCAAAUUCUUCCUGCAGAUUUUUCAGUAGUGCUGAAACAGCUUCUUGCUUGACCAAGGAAGCCCUCACCCAGGUAGCGGCAUGCAAAACUGCCACAGAAACCUGGAAGGUCAUCGAAACAAUUUACUCCUCCAUGACCAAGGCACGCUCCAUCAACACAAGAAUCACCCUCGCCACCACCAAGAAAGGGGACCUCACAAUUGCUGAAUAUGUCGGCAAGAUGAGGGCCCUGGGAGAUGAGAUGGCAAACUCCGGCAAGCCGAUCGACGACGACGAGCUCAUCUCGUACAUCAUCACCGGCCUCGACUACGACUACAAUCCGGUCAUCACCUCCCUUGUCGCGCGAGCUGAUCCGCUCACCAUUAGGGAGGUGUACUCCCAACUGCUCAGUUAUGAGCAAUGGCUGGAUCUCCUACGCGAGUCAGAUUCCUACUCCGUCAACGCUGCCACCCGUGGAAGAGGAAGUUCCCGAGGAAGAGGCGGCAACCGUGGUGGAGGAAGUAGAGAUUCUAGAGGCCGAGGACGUGGCGGAUCUCAGUCUCGCCAGAUUGGCAUCGGCAACAGAAACGCUCCACAACAAGACAGCAGGCCCAAGUGCCAGCUCUGUGGCAAAAGAGGACAUCUGGUAAUGAAGUGUUGGCAUCGCUUUGACGAAAAUUUUGUUCCCAAUGAAAAAUAUGCAGGGGCAGCAGCCACAUCAUAUGGAGCAGACUCAAACUGGUAUGUAGAUACUGGAGCCACAGAUCACAUCACCAGAGAUCUUGAGAGGCUAGCAGUACAUGACCAAUACAGAGGCCAUGAUCAGAUCCACACGACAAGUGGUGCAGGUAUGAACAUUAGUCGCAUUGGUUAUUCAACUGUUCCAACUCAUAACCGUGAUCUUAAACUCAAUAACAUUCUUUAUGUUCCUCAAGUUACAAAGAAUCUUGUCUCAGUUCAUAAACUAGCCACCGAUAACUCAGCCUUUCUUGAAUUUCAUCCCAAUUUCUUUGUGAUCAAGGAUCAGGCCACGAAGAGACCUCUGCUUAAAGGACGCUGCCACAAAGGGCUCUAUCCUUUGCCAUUGACAUCAUCCAAGCAAGCAUAUGGAGCCACUAGACCAUCUAUUGAAAGAUGGCAUAGUCGUCUAGGUCAUCCCUCUGUUCCUAUAGUAGAAAAAGUUAUUCGUCGUUUUAAUCUCCCUUGUUCUAGUGAGAAGAAUAAACAGUCUGUUUGUAACGCCUGUCAAAAGGCUAAGAGUCAUCAGUUACCUUAUCCCAAGUCAAGUCAUGUGUCGAGUCAUCCCUUAGAACUCGUUUUCUCUGAUGUUUGGGGUCAUGCACCCAACUCUAUAGGAGGCAAUAAAUAUUAUGUCAGUUUUAUCGAUGAUUAUAGUAAAUUUACUUGGAUUUAUCCUCUCAAAUUCAAAUCCGAAGUCUUUCAAAAGUUUGUUGAAUUUCAAACUCUCGUUGAGCGUCUUUUCGAUCGCAAAAUAAUAACCAUGCAAACCGAUUGGGGCGGAGAAUAUCAAAAACUUCAUUCAUUCUUUGCUAAAGUUGGAAUCAGCCAUCAUAUCUCCUGUCCUUAUGCACAUCAACAGAAUGGGUCGGCGGAGAGAAAACACCGCCAUAUUGUUGAAGUUGGUCUAGCCCUUCUUGCUCAUGCUUCUAUGCCCCUGAAAUACUGGGAUGACGCCUUCCUUGCAGCUGUUUAUUUGAUCAACCGUACUCCUAGCAAAACCAUAAAUUAUGAAACACCUUUGGAGCGUCUUUUUCACCAAAAACCAAAUUACUCCUUUUUGCGCAUUUUUGAUUGUGCUUGCUGGCCUAACCUUCGUCCCUAUAAUUCUCAUAAGCUUCAAUUCCGCUCCCGUCAAUGUGUCUUUCUAGGAUACAGUAAUUUUCACAAAGGUUUCAAAUGUCUUGAUCUUUCUUCUGGACGAGUCUAUAUUUCAAGGGAUGUCAUCUUUGAUGAAACAAUUUUUCCCUUCUCCUCUCUCCGCCCCAAUGCUGGUCGUCGUCUCCAACAAGAAAUUUCCCUUCUUCCUCCAUCCCUUCAACAUUCUGAUAUUAUCACCGGUUAUGGGGGCCAACAUGUGGAUAAUCAUGUGCCUACAUGUUCUACUAACACUACUAAUCCAUGUGCUUUGAGCUCUCCACCUGUGCAGGACACAGCCGGGUCAAAUGAUGCUUCCGGCCCAAGUACUGAGGCCGAGUCACCUAUGCCAGCUCCUGUUGACGAUGCUGCCCUGCCCGCCAUGCAGUUGGAUGAGAGCGCCAUACACGAUCCGCCUGCAGCCACGGACUCCCCGCCUCUUGGAUCCUCUGCACCCGGGGGGGACCAACAGCAGUCGCAGCAUAUGGAACAGCGACGCCCGAGUACACGUCUCCAACAUGGAAUCCGUAAGCCCAAAGUUUAUACUGAUGGCACUAUCAAGUACAAUUUUCUUACAACUUCUGGUGAACCACGAAACUUAGAAGACGCCUUGAGUGAUAAAAACUGGAAAAAUGCUAUGGAUGCUGAAUUUAUGGCACUAGAAAAGAAUAGAACCUGGCACUUAGUUCCACCUCAAAAAGGCAGGAAUAUAAUUGACUGUAAAUGGGUUUAUAAAAUUAAAAGAAAACAAGAUGGAAGCUUAGAUAGAUAUAAAGCUCGCCUAGUUGCAAAAGGAUUUAAACAAAGGUAUGGUAUUGAUUAUGAGGACACUUUUAGCCCUGUGGUCAAGCCAACUACUAUCAGGAUUGUUCUCUCUAUUGCUAUCUCUAGGGGGUGGUCUCUUCGUCAAUUGGAUGUGCGAAAUGCUUUUCUUCAUGGAAUCCUUGAAGAGGAAGUGUACAUGAAACAACCUCCUGGAUAUGAGUGUUGGGGCGAAGGCAAAGACGCCACCCUUCGCUCGAGGCCUUCGCUGCAGCCGCCGGUCCGACGGAGACAAAGCGGGCAGGGACACCCUUCGCAGGACUCGGCACUUUGACGAAGGCCUGCGGCGACGUCCUACCACGGCGUGUCCUCGUUCAGUCCCAAGGCCCACGUGUGAUCUGGCCCAUUGUAACGGGCCCCGCGUGGCCGCCUCUGUAUUACGGGCCUAACUUGUAAAGGAAUACUUGUAAUUACGGUCUGUAACCCUGCUUUAUGGGAAUAUUCUGGGGAUAAAAUAGGUGCCUGAGGGCACAUGCGUCCUUAACACAAGACGCUGGGCACUCAGAUACCUAUAAAUAUCCCCGCACAGUGCCCGUGAGAGGCUAGAUGAACAGAGCUAUUGCCCCCGUGCACGUAACCCUGUUGUCACCACUAUUCACCCUUGUUGGCCUUCUUGCUGCUGUGAGCGAGUUCCAACAUUUGGCGCCCACCGUUCGUGCUACGAUAAAACCACCCGCGAUGGCACCCAAGAGAGCUAACCCCAAGGCUGACGAGGCUGCGAAGGCAGCACUGCUGGCCGCAAGAAAGGGCAAGGCCCUCGUCCUCACCCAAUCCACCCACCAAGAGCCCACUGAAGACAAUGUUCCCCACACCGGCGAAGACGACACCUUCCGCACCUGCGGAACCGAAGGACAGUCACAGCCGCCCCCAGGCUUCGCCCCACUGGAAGGCGCGGAUCUCACCGAGGACGGUGAGGUCCUCGGCGUCUCAACAGAAGAACAGCUGCAGCUGCGCGCCCUGCGCCUCAGGAACCGCAAUCUCCAGAGGCAGAAAGAGAUACUGGAGGCCAAGCGCCAGCGUGUGUCCGCAUUAGCCAAAGUGCGGCAAAUGAUACGCGACGAGGAGCAGAAAGCUCAAGACCUCGAGCGCGAGAUCGCGCUGAUGCAGCGCGAAGGCCACCUCGGUCUACAGCAAGAGCCACCCCUCCAACAGCGCACACAACCGGAGGACACGCGCGAAGGCCACCUCGGCCGGCAGCAUGGCCCACCCCUGCAGCACCGGGCGCAGCCGGAGAACCCGCGUUUCCCCCAGCAUGACUACGUCUCCCAGCACGGCGCGCCAUUCCAAGGGGUCAACUACCUCGACGAGCGAAGCCCCCUGGCGCCACACCUACAAGUGACGCCUUGGCCAGCUAACUUUCGAGCGGGGGCAUACCCCAAGUACAACGGCAGCACCGACCCGGCGCAGUACAUCAUGAGUUAUCAAGUCGUCGUUGCAUCAGCCGGAGGGGACGACGCCACAAUGGCGAAGUCUUUCAUCAUCGCACUAGAGGGCCCAGCACUCACCUGGUUCACCAGAUUGCCUCCGCUGUCCAUCGAUUCGUGGAGAAGUCUCAGGGACAAGUUCCUCCUCAACUUCCAAGGGUACCGUCCAGACACCGACGCUUUGACCGAGCUCUCGCUUUGCAAACAGCUAGAAAAGGAGACUCUGCGGGAGUAUUACCGCAAGUUCUUAACACUCAAGUCGCAGCUGCCCUCUGUCGACGAUCAGAUCGCCAUCCACUACGCCAUCAAUGGCCUUCGGGCCGGCGUCCUCUACAGCCAUUGUAUCAGAGAUCCACCCAAGAGCUUGCAGGAGCUAUAUCAGCUCUUCGAAAAAUAUGCCAAAUCCGAAGAGCUCCACCAGCGCAAGGUCGAGUCACAACGGAAACCCAAAGAUGCCCCGCAGUCCAGCCGCACGUGGACAAGGACUCCGCAGCCAGACUCCGGUCGAGAGGGCCGCAGUCAGCAGCAAGUGCACAACAUCGUCAACCAACAGCCUGCUGCUGAUCCCCCUCGCCGCCAGGAAUAUCCCCCCAGGGCCGCGGAAAUGGAACUCGCGGCAGGGGUCGAGGGCGGGCGCAGCAGCCGCCGCGCCGGUUCUAUUGCCUUUUCCACGGCGAAGACUGCGCCCACCAGACCAAAGACUGCCCCGAGACGAAGGCCACCAGAGAAAGAAUGGCGCGGGCGCAGCCAGCCGACAAUCCUAGAAUUGUCGCGCAUAAUUACCAACCACCCCCUCCACCAUACAUCCAUGCUCCCGCUCCGCAUCCACCGCACCACGCUUACCAACACCAUCAGGAAGUACAAAUCGUACCUCCUCCACCCCCACCGCCACACCAGCAACACCAAAACAUCCCCCACGCCCCAAAACAGGAAGACUUCGCCGAUCAACCAUAUCGCGGAGUCAUUCACAUGAUAACAGGGGGGUCCAGCACUGACUUCGACACCAAGCGGCAGAAGCGGGACCACUACCGCAGCAUCAACCACGUCGCCGUCACUGGCCCAGUCGUGCAGACGAAGUGGUCCCAUAUACCGCUAACCUUCGACGCACGAGACGUCGACCUACGCAGCGCCCCCCACAUCGACGCUAUGGUCAUCAAUUGCAGCGUGGCAGGCUGGGAUUUACACAAAGUCCUAGUCGACAACGGCAGUCAGGCGGACAUCAUCUUCCUCCACGCCUUCGACCGCAUGGGUAUAAGCCACAGCUUGCUGAAGCCUUCGGACAACCCGUUGUAUGGUUUCGGCGGCAAGGGCACCUUUCCAGUUGGCAAGAUAGAGUUGCCCCUCUCCUUCGGUGUAGCGCCCAAUGCCCGAAGUGAGCAAGUAACCUUCGACAUUGUCGACAUGGUAUAUCCAUACAACGCCAUCAUGGGCCGGGGAUCCAUCAACAAGUUCGAAGCUGCCAUCCACGGGUUGUACCUAUGUAUGAAGAUACCAGGCCCGCUAGGCGCCAUCACAGUCUACGGCAACCAGCAGACGGCGCGCAACAUUGAGCGGGACUUCGUGCCCGGUCAGAGAAACAUACACUGUCUCACAACCCAGCGCGAGGUCCCUGCGCCGGCCAGCCCAACCGACAAGCAGCACGACAAGGCACAGUUGCAGUGCCAAGACGGGACCAAGACUGUCCCCCUCGAUCAGGCCACGCCCAAGCACACAGUAACUAUCAGCGAAGACCUCACCUCACUUGAGGAAGAGAGACUUCUCUGCUGCCUGGCCAAGAAUAAGGAUGUCUUCGCCUGGUCUGCCCUCGAUCUGGUCGGAGUCAGCCGAGCCAUAAUUGAGCACAGCUUGGGGAUUAACCCUUCGGUGCGACCCAAAAAGCAGAAGCUUCGCAAAAUGUCAGACGAAAAGACAGAGGCCGCCAAGGCGGAGGUGCAUCGCCUCCUGGAGGCUAAAUUCAUCGAGCCAGUGGCUUACCCCACGUGGCUCUCCAAUGUUGUGAUGGUGCAGAAAAAAAGCGGAAAAUGGCGCAUGUGCAUAGACUUCACCAGUCUCAAUAAGGCCUGCCCAAAGGACAAUUUCCCGUUGCCGCGGAUCGACAAAAUAGUCGAUAGCGCGGCCGGAUGCGAGGUCAUGUCCCUCCUCGACUGCUUCUCCGGCUAUCACCAGAUAUACAUGAAGGAGGAAGACAAGGCUAGCACCAGCUUUAUAACACCCUUCGGCACUUAUUGCUUUGUCAGAAUGCCGGAGGGUCUCAAGAAUGCCGGAUCCACCUUCUCCAGACUCACCAAAACGGUGCUCGAGGGGCAGGUCGGCAGAAAUAUAUUCACAUAUGUGGACGACAUCGUCGUCGCCAGCAAGAAUAAGGAGGACCAUCUCGCCGACCUGGCAGAGACAUUCGCGAACAUGCGAGAUGCACGACUCCGCCUAAACCCGGAAAAGUGCGUUUUCGGUGUCCGCCAGGGCAAGAUAUUGGGCUACCUGGUGUCCCGCCGCGGCAUCGAGGCCAACCCAACCAAGAUCCAGGCCAUCGUCGAUAUGUCGCCUCCGCAGUCCGCCAGGGACGUCCAGCGCCUGACAGGCAGGAUGGCCGCUCUCAACAGAUUCAUCUCCAGGUCCGCCGAGCGAAGUCUCCCCUUCCUCAAAACACUCCACGGCGCGAAGGACUUCGCUUGGGGACCGGAGCAAGCAGCGGCCUUCGCCUCACUAAAACUGUACCUGUCGGAGCUGGCCAUCCUCACGAGCCCCGACUCCUCGCUCCCCCUAUUGCUCUAUGUCGCGGCUUCGCCGCACGCAGUCAGCGCGGCACUGGUACAGGAGCAGACAGUCGAGGGCGCAGUCAGACAGUGCCCUGUCUACUAUGUCUCCGAAGUCCUGACACCGUCCAAAUGCAACAUGACAGAGCUGGAGAAGAUUGCCUACGCAGUUGUUAUGUCCUUGCGCAAGCUGCGCCAUUAUUUUGAAGCAUUCAAGGUCCGAGUCACCUCAGACAGGAGGCUCGGCGAACUAUUCAGGAACCCGGAGGCAUCAGUGAGGAUUGCCAAGUGGGCAGCCGAACUCUCCGGCUACCACAUCAGCUUCGAGCCUAGAACAGCUAUCAAGUCGCAAGUCCUGGCAGACUUCGUCGUCGACUGGACUGGGCCAGUAACACAGCCGGACCCAUCCACAGAAAAGGUCUGGACUAUCCAUUGCGACGGUGCAUGGUGUCAUGCGGGGGCAGGCGUUGCUGUAGUCGUCACCUCGCCAGCCGGAGUCAAACACAGAUAUGCAGCACGCCUCAGCUUCGCUCUGGAAUCCGACAAAUGUACAAACAACAUAGCAGAGUAUGAAGCAGUCAUCCUCGGCCUCCGCAAGCUAAGGGCCCUCGGAGUCACCACAUGUAUCAUCAAAACAGACUCCAAGAUAGUUGCCGGUCAGGUCAAAAAAGACUAUGCAGCAAAAGACCCCGCCCUCAUGCAAUACCUCGCGGCUAUCCGAAGUCUCGAGAGACAAUUCAAGGGAUUCACCCUGCAGCAUGUGGAUAGGGCCAAGAACGAGGAGGCCGAUGCCUUAGCCAAGGUCGCCGCCAGGGGCGAGCCCCUGCCCUCCGACGUGUUUUUCCACACCAUCGGCACUCCAGCUGUCCGGAGCCCCGAAGGGCUCCAGAUAACUAAUGAUAGCGAAGGCCACCGUAUAGUCAACCUAAUCAUGACAGAAGACUGGAGGGCACCAAUAACCCUGUUCCUACAGGGGUACUAUCAUCCAGCCGACGUCAGUGAGGCAAAGCGCCUCAGACAUCGAAGCCGGGACUUCGCUCUGAUCGAGGGCCAACUGUACAAGAAAGGGGUCAGUCAGCCAAUGCUCAAAUGCGUCACCGAAACCGAAGGCAUGCAGAUCCUACGCGAAGUUCACAGUGGCACGUGCGGCUCGCACGCAGGGCCAAGGGCCCUGGCUGCCAAGGUGAUCCGACAAGGGUUUUACUGGCCCGCAAUGAUCUGCGCCGCAAAUCGGGUCACGAGGUCCUGCGAAGCCUGCCAGAAGUUCUCCCCUCAGUCAGGCAACCCCUCGCAAUAUACAAAGCUGAUUGCCCAUACAUGGCCUCUCCAGCGCUGGGGCCUGGACAUCGUCGGGCCCCUGCCCACCGCUCAGGGGAACCUUAAGUUCGCCUUCGUAGCUGUCGAAUACUUCACCAAAUGGAUUGAAGCGAGGGCUGUUUCCACAAUCACAUCAAAGACUGCCCAAAAAUUCUUCUGGCAGAACAUCGUUUGCCGCUUCGGAGUACCGUCCGAGCUAACAGUUGACAACGGCAAGCAGUUCGACAGCCAAGAUUUCAAGGAUUUUUGUUUCUCCAUCGGCACCAAGCUUGCCUUCGCUUCAGUCUAUCAUCCGCAGUCCAACGGGGUCGUGGAGCGCGCCAAUGGGAAAAUAUUCACAGCUGUCAAAAAGAUGCUCCUCGAUGAAAGAAAAGGCAGAUGGACAGAUUUAUUACCAGAGGCGGUCUGGGCGCUAAACACAACCGAGUGCAGAGCGACCGGGUUCACUCCUUUCCGCCUUCUAUACGGAUCGGAGGCAAUGACCCCGCAAGAAAUAAAGCAUGGGUCCCCGCGUACAGUUCCGUCAGCCGUCCCCGAAGUGGAUGAGCCAACUUCAAAAGAUCUCAUUGACGGAGACCGGGUCUUCGCCCUACAGGCCCUAAACAAAUAUCAGGCCCAGACCAAAGCAUGGCGCGACCGCGCAGUCAUCCCAAGGGAGUUCAGCGAGGGGGACCUCGUACUCAUCCGAACAGCUCGGACGGAGUCCAAGGGCAAGUUGGAGCCCAAGUGGGAGGGCCCCUUCAUAGUCAAGUCAAAAGCUUCCCGCUUACAGGCUCACAACGCCAAACGGCGAGGACCUAGAGCACUCCUGGAACGUCGACAACCUUCACAAAUUUUUUGUUUGACCCAUUUAGGGCUGAUUUCGCCCUUGUAAUUCGCUGCAAACAAUCUUGUACCGGCCCGCACUCUUUUCCUCCCGGGGGGUGAGGUUUUUAACGAGGCGGAGCCAUGUAAUAUAUGUGAGAAAAAUCCCCCGCAAAAGCAUGUGUCGAAAAAAGACCGCAACAACGGUCUUCGGCAUUCGACCAAUUCGAAGUCACCGCGAGGCUAAGCGCUAGCCACCCUCGCGUGCGACCAAUCCGCGCAGAAGUCGCCUAAGGGUGCAGCCGGACUUAGCACAACAAGUGCGCAAAAAUCCAAAGUCCAUCGCGAAGACUAUCCGCGCAGAAGUCGCCUAAGGGUGCAGCCGGACUUAGCACAACAAGUGCGCAAAAAUCCGAAGUCUAUCGCGAAGACUAUCCGCGCAGAAGUCACCUAAGGGUGCAGCCGGACUAAGCACAACAAGUGCGCAAAAAUCCGAAGUCUAUCGCGAAGACUAUCCGCGCAGAAGUCGCCUAAGGGUGCAGCCGGACUAAGCACAACAAGUGCGCAAAAAUCCGAAGGCUAUCGCGAAGACUAUCCGCGCAGAAGUCGCCUAAGGGUGCAGCCGGACUAAGCACAACAAGUGCGCAAAAAUCCGAAGGCUAUCGCGAAGACUAUCCGCGCAGAAGUCGCCGAAAGGUGCAGCCGAGCUAAGCACAAGCGCGCAAAAAUCCGAAGCCUAUCGCAAAAACUUCGCGCAAGAGCCGCCUAAGGGCGCAGCCGACCCAGUACAACAAAAGCAGAAACGACACCAAGACCAAUUAUAAUCGUGCUGGCACAGCAUAAUCAAUCACACCAGACAAAGUACACAGCGCCCUCGCAGGCACAGGCACGCGAGGGCACACAACUCCAUUUUACAAGCCCUUACACAUACACAAGCGAGGGCACCGCGCCCUACAUCGGCUCAACCUUAGGAAUAAUCCCCAUCUCUCUAUAAUUAAACAACAUUAUCCUAAGCUCCUCACCCGCAAAAAGGCUUCGCAGCUCCCCUUCCCCUGCACCAGCGGCGGCCGGCAAAGACAGCAGCUCCUGCCGACCAGCCCUGCUAACGCGGAGCCGGGCCCCUUCCUCCGCACUAAUCCUACGCUUUGCAACCGCCCUUCGUCGUCGGUGCCCGGUGCUAGGACCGGGCACGUCUGGCGCGUCCGCAGCGUGUGGCGCAGCCUCCGCCGCAGCCACGUCCAAGGCCGCAAAAUAAUCCAAGUCCCCCUCCGAAGACUCCUCAGUCCACUCAACCGAGCUCCCAGAGUCAGUAAAAUCACAAAACUCAGAAACAGACCCACCAUAUUCAUUUCCAUCUUUCGCGGUCGAAGCCGCCAAAAACUCAGUAGUAGCGGUUGCGUGCGCAGGCCCAAAAUCUCGAACCUGCGCAGCAACCAAAAUUCAGUACAACAUCCAAAAAUUCCUCAACCCUAAACACCACAUAUGCCACCUGCGAAGGCCCUGCCGCUGCGGGAGCCUCCGCCGAGGCCUCCGCCGCUGCCUCCGCCCCCACCUCCGCUGGAUCUUCAGCGCUCGGCACAGCAGCUGCGGGGGCAUCGGGCGCGCCUUCGGCCACCUUUGGGGGAAGGUCUUCGCCGGCCGCAGCAGGUGCAGGGGCGCCUGGUGCAUCUUCCGCGGUCUCCGGGGUCGGUCCGGGGGCGACUCCAGUCGCGGCCUCCGCAGGGGUCGUCUCCGGGUCAGGCAGCGCGCUGUUCAGCGCCCCGAAGUCGUCCACCCGCUCGCCACGCUCCGCCUAAGACAAAACGCACAAAAAUUCAGCAAACACACGCACAGACCGCAUCCAGCAAACGCCGAGCAAACGACAACGUUACCUGAGCCCUCGCAGCCGCGGCCCGCGCCCGGACCACCUCACAACCGUAUGAACUCCACAUCCGGUCAUAGAGGGCCCCGGCGGAUUCCUUCACCACGGGGUCUUCGACCUCAAAGAUAUCUCGCCCAAAAUCCUCAUCUGCCUGGUCGAGGGCCUCAAAGUGCCGGCAGCCUUCGCGAGAGAGCGCGUUCAUUGCUGCCUCGCAGGUGACCAGGGAGGUGAACGCCAUCAACCCCGCCAAGACAGUGGGGAGCUCCUGCAGUUCCUCCUGCACCCAUUCCAGACAGCGAAGUCCGGCCUCUCGCUCCGGCACCUCGAAGUCACCCGUCCGCACACCUAGCUCGCGGUAUGCAGUCAUGAGCUGCGUGCGCGUCCGUUCGGCCUCCGCUCGCAUCGCGGCCUCGGCCCCCUCCGCGCGGCUCUCCAGGGCAGUAAGCCGCCGCUGCAGCUCUCCGGCGAGCUCCUUGGCGAUAUUGCCUUCCGCCCGCGCCAGCCUGGCCUCCGCCUGAGCAGCCUGCUCUUUGGCGAUGGCUUCGUUGGCCUCCCUCCUCUCCCCCGCCAUCUGGCGCCGGAGGUCAGCCUUCUCCUUCUUCAGGGCGGCCACCUUCUCCGACAGUUUGCGGCACUUGCUGUCGGAGGCCGAUUUCUCACGAACAGCGUCAGCAUGUUGCGUCCGAAGUCUCUCGACCUCGGCAGACAAAGCUGCCGUAAGGGCCCCCGACGCGGUGCGGCUGGUGAAGUCAGCCACCUGUAGAACACACGUAAGGCCGUUGCGUAAAAAAAAGAGAGGGGGGCGGAGAGGGCAUAGCUCGGCGGACCUGACUCAGCGCCUCCGUCGCUCGACUCAACGCCUCCGUCGCUCCCCUCAGCCGGCGGGUCGCCACGCCCGCCUCGUCCCUGACCAGCGCGAGGGCAGACACCUCGCCUCCGGCGCCAAGGGUCUCUCCCCCCGCCUUCGGCGCUGGCGCAGCCGUCGCGAUCGCCGCGCCAGGCAUAACCAGAGCAAGCGGGCCCUCGUCCGACCCUGCAACGCGUCAACAAAUUAAAAAAAACGUGUGUAUAUAUUUAUAUAGACUUACCCCCAAGAUAAUCCUCCACAUUAAUCUCGGUGCCGAAGUCGGCAACGCGUUUGCCGGCGGCGGUAACGUUCGGGCCGCCUUCGCAGCCUCCGCCACUCCGCUGACAGACGGCACCACCUUCGUCAGCGUGGGGCCUCCGGCGCCCACCGUCACCUCCGGCGCCUUGCCAGGCGCAGAGGCGCCCACCUUCGCCGGCAGCGGCGGCUUGCCUCCGCCGGAGGCCUCCGCCUUCGCCGUUCCCCGCUGCCUCUUCGGCCGAGCUUCGUGAACCCUCACAGUCGCCUGGCGUUUACGCGCCGCCCCUUGGCGAUCCUUGUCCAUCACUGCCCACACAACAUGACCGAUAUUUCGCCCAUAAGGAAAAACUCUCCACCGAUGAACCAUACGAGAUGUAAAACAGUCCUCCUCAGCCGCGCAGGGGAUAGGAAUGUCUUUAGGCCAACAACCCCCGGUAACCCUCAGCAUCCGAGCCGAAGACUCCCGGAGCUCGGGCGAAGACAUCCUCUCCCCCGGGGCCGCACACGUCCUCAUUAACUCUCUAGCGAAACUAUCAGACACCCCAAGUCUUCCCAUCGCAGUACCUAAUUUUCUCUUUUUCAAGGAGGCGGCGGCCACCAGCGCAGGGUCGCCUCCAGUCUCCACCGCCGGUUUCUUCCCACGGCGGUCCGCUUCGUCUUGACCAGGGUAGCCGUCGUACGGCAGUUGAUUUAAUUCGAAGACCCUGUUCAAACGUUCAUUUGACCCGCGGAUGUCAAAGCUGCGCUGGCCUUCCGUCCUCGGCACAUAACGCCCCACGAGCCGCACCGCCAAGUCCUCCGCAUCACGCACAAAGGCGGCCGGGUCACGGUUUCGCAAAUUCAGUGCGAAGGCAGGACUUCGCACCACCCUUCCUCCGUGAAAGGGCAUCUGGCGAGGGCAUACUUCGCCCAGCGCCCAGCCGUGCGCCAAGGGCCAGACCCCGUACGCCACGAACUCUUCAACUAAAUCUCGAUCGCUGCUCUGACCGGCGGCGCACCGAAGGGCCCCUUCGUCUGCAUCAUCUUCUGCUACUUCAUAAGGCGGAUACGCAGAGUAAUAGUGAGAGCACAUUUCGGACACGGGGAGCCCGUUAUGGCCUUCGACAGUAGCCUCAGCAACAUAAAACCAAAAUUCAUUCCAAUUGCCCCACUUGUUGCGGGCGCACGGGACCAACUCCACUACUGGCAUUGUGGUCUUGCCGGUCUUCGGCGUGAAUGUGCAUGACCCGAACUGGGCAACUCCGUCCUCAACCAUCCUUUUCUGCCAAUGCAAACAAUAAUUCUUCGCAAAAACUUCAACUGACGGCUGUCCGCCGUACGAAGUCGUCGCCCAGACAUACUUCGCCAGCGCCACUAUGGCGUUCGGUGUCAGCUGAUGUAUUUGAACGCUGAAUCUACGCAGGACUUCGCUGACAAAACGGUGCGCAGGCAAGCGGAGUCCGGCGACGAAGAACGCCUCGAAAACAACCAACUCGCCCUCUGGUUCGGGGACCUCCUCCGUCCCCGGAGCACGAGCGACUCCGCCGCCAAAGUAGCCCAACCGCUGCAUAUCUUCAAUACGGGCUGACGUCAUCCGCGACACACCAAAUUCAACAGAGUCGCCGGCGCGCAACUCCUCCACCACCACGUUACUCAACGUCUCCUCAGACGAGGCGGCGGCCGGCGGCGCAGCGUCGGCGGAAGAAGAAGAGGAUGGCAUUGCUACGUACCGUCGGCGGCGGCGGGCGGUCUGCUUCACUCGAGCCAGAACGCCGGCGAGCAAAGGGAGCAGCGGAGGAAAAGGAGCAGCAAGACGGCGGGCGGCUAGGGUUUUACGAAGCGCGGAAGGCAGAGUUCAAACAGCGCCGCCCCCGCCCCCUUUUAUAGGCAGGGCGCGGCUCUUCGGGAAACCCGCAAUCCGACAGGCCGCGACGCUUCGGGAAACCCGCAAUCCAACAGUACGCCGUCCAUCAACGGUCACAUCAAAUACCCCCGCAGAACCACUUCGAGCGAGGGCAGCGUCUCCGCCAUCUAGCGACGUCUUCGGCACCAGGUGACUUUGUCGAACUGGUCCCUCGGAGGGCAAAUGUUGGGGCGAAGGCAAAGACGCCACCCUUCGCUCGAGGCCUUCGCUGCAGCCGCCGGUCCGACGGAGACAAAGCGGGCAGGGACACCCUUCGCAGGACUCGGCACUUUGACGAAGGCCUGCGGCGACGUCCUACCACGGCGCGUCCUCGUUCAGUCCCAAGGCCCACGUGUGAUCUGGCCCAUUGUAACGGGCCCCGCGUGGCCGCCUCUGUAUUACGGGCCUAACUUGUAAAGGAAUACUUGUAAUUACGGUCUGUAACCCUGCUUUAUGGGAAUAUUCUGGGGAUAAAAUAGGUGCCUGAGGGCACAUGCGUCCUUAACACAAGACGCUGGGCACUCAGAUACCUAUAAAUACCCCCGCAUAGUGCCCGUGAGAGGCUAGAUGAACAGAGCUAUUGCCCCCGUGCACGUAACCCUGUUGUCACCACUAUUCACCCUUGUUGGCCUUCUUGCUGCUGUGAGCGAGUUCCAACAAUGAGGACAAAGAGAAGCCAAGUUAUGUUUGCAAACUAGACAAAGCUCUUUAUGGUCUAAAACAAGCUCCUCGGGCCUGGUAUGCAAGGUUGAGUAAGAAACUUUUUGAUCUUGGUUUUAGAAGUUCCAAGGCCGACACUUCCCUAUUUUUCUAUAAUAGCAAAGAUGUGUCUAUGUUUAUCCUUAUAUAUGUAGAUGACAUAAUUGUGGCAAGCUCAAAGCAAGAAGCUGUUUCAGCACUACUGAAAAAAUCUGCAGGAAGAAUUUGCUCUAAAGGACUUAGGGAAUCUUCACUACUUCCUUGGUAUAGAGGUAAACAAGACACAAAACGGUAUACUGUUAACACAGGAAAAAUAUGCAACUGAUUUACUACGGAGCAAGAAUCCUAGGACCUGUUGGUCUGUGGUCUUCCAGUCCUCCCAUGCCGGAUUGGGAACGUCGACGUCCUUGUCCUUGAUGGUGGUCGCCGGAGCUGCAGCAGCACCCGUGAGGUAACCCUCUAGGCGCACACCCCUGACGACGGCUAGGACUUGCAUCUUCCAGAGUUGAUAGUUCCCCUUGGCCAGUUUCUCAGAAACAGCUUGACCGACGAGGGGAUUGAUAAUUGCAGCAGUGCUCGACAUGAUGAUUCUCUGGUGGAUUUUGGUGUUUAUGGAUUGGCUCUGAUUACCAUAAAGAAUAUCAGAGGCGCUGGAAGAGAUUGGAAAACACCGCGAUGCCCCUGGCCGGUGUGCUGCAUGUUUAUAUAUGGGCAAUAACAACCAUUGCCGUGGUUUACAUUUGGAUAAUCAUGAGUCUGUUUCAGAUAAUCACGCAGAGUUGGUUACACGAGAUAAACUCUAAUACAAUCGACUAUAUGAGAUAAGAUUGAUAUACUAACUCUGCGUUAUCUGUUACAGGCGCUUUGCUUUACAUACACUCUAUUUGGAAAAAAACACUGUUGAACUAUAGUACUUCCUCCGGGUUCAAAUGAAUUGACUUUCUGGUUGUUUUAGAGAUUGCUCAAAUUUCGCAUACACACUUCUCAAAACUAACUAGAGGAAAACAUCCUAUCUUUCCAUCAAAAAUGCAUACCCCAUUCCCAUCAAACCUUGGUCGAGCACAUAAGAACAUCAUUUAGGACAGUUAUUCUUAUUCCGGCAUGUUAUCAGUGGCUCAUCUUCAUCUAGAAGAAGGUAGUAUCGCUUUGAUUUUCUAGUAAGGAAGAACCAUUUCUCAUCAAUGAAGAUAGUGUCAAAUAAUGCCUUAAAUCUUGGAUAUUUGGUAUGCUUUUAGGCUCAAGCAUAUUAACACACCACUGCAGCCUAGCUUGCUUGUUUGCUUCGGUUAAGUGCAACUUGAUACUAUUUGCAUGCUUUUAAUAAUACCUUGUUUUAGAGAUCUCAACAAUUUGGACUUGCUCACAUGUAAAAUAGCACAUACAUCUUCCUGACUUGUUCUAUCUUUUAGAGCAGUGUUUUCGGUGCUUCUAAAUCCAGAGGAACUGGUUUACGGCCAAAACUCUACCACGGCUCUUAGCAUAAACAUCAACAAUAAUAAUGCCUUGAUCAAGAGAUUGCUUACCAUCGUGCCAUAUAUGUUGCACAGUUCUUAUUUUGUAUCAUGCCUCAUAAGCUUUCCAUUUUUACUUCUUGCCAACAAGACUUGAUAUACUUGUUUCUUCACUUCACCUGGAGUAUCUUUGCUACCUAAAAAUAUUCAUAGUGCUCUAAAUGGUAAACGUAAAAAAUGGUAACAGUGGGUGAUACUAUAUUAAGGCAUAUAUCACUAACUAUUAUAAGGAGUUGUUUUUUGCCACAUGAUGAUAAGAAUUUUUGACUAGUGGAGAACUGAAUACAACAUAUCACACAUGUAAGGAGGACAUGCUCCUCUUGUGGAAUGGUUCACAUAUGCAUAGCGCCUCUCUUACACAUUUGUCAUAGCUUCAUAUAAAAGAAUUAACCUAGAGGUACUACUUAUUAAGUGACAAAUAUUAUAAAUUGACCCCCCCCCCCCUCACUCCUAAACUUUCAAAAAUAUAUGACAUGUUUAGUUCACUUCUCUUAGGGCUAGUUUGAGAACUUCAUUUUCCCAAGUGAUUUCUAUUUUCCCAUAGAAAAAUAAACUAAUUUCCAUUGGAAAAAUGGAAAUCCCUUGGAAAAUUAGGGUUCCCAAACUAGCCCUUAGCAUAAUGUUGCACCUUGGAUCCUCAAAACACUGUUUGUUUGAUUGCUUGCACAUACACAGUGCCCGCAGUCAAGCCUGUGGGAAACGCCAGCAACAAGCUUACACAUAUGUAGCUCACACACUCCUAGAUGCCUUUUUUGUUUGUUUUUCUCGUUAUAUUUUCUAAUUAAAAGAUUUAAUCACCAAACCAGUUUCAUAUAUAUGUUUCUGACAUUUGUGCGAAUAAAACUAGACCACUCAUACUAUAUAUAUAUAUAUAUUAAACAAAAAAAUAUGUGCUUAAGAUUAACAAAUAAUUAGUGUCUAUUGGUAUGAAAUUGGUGCCUAUUACGUAAUUUUUACAUAUAAUUAGUGUCUAUUAAUAUAUUUCUAAUUUUUAAUAAGUAUUCAUGCAAGCAACCGAACAACAUCUCUAAUAAACCAUGUUGGACACAUGCAACAAUCAAAGAGGAGGUAUGUUGUUACCCAGACUUGUCAGAGUCAGGCUCACUAGAUUGGAGCCCAGCUCUACCAUGCAGUCAACCAAAUACGCCCAUACUAAAUCCACCACUACGACCACACAUAGGCCACAAGGGCCAACUACUAUACAUAACUAAUAGGUUGGGGUGUUAUGAUACUCCUAAUUCUUAUAGCACAUAGCACUAUAGAUUUUCGAUGGCCAAAAGCCGCCAAAAAUAAGGGUUUUCCGCUAAAACUAGCUUAUUUUCAGCGGCAAUAGGUAUAUUUUCUGCGGUACCCAACGGCCACGGAUAAUGAGCCGAAAAUAAGUUCCUAUUUUCAGUGGCCACGCUAUUACCAUCGAAAAUAAGAUAUUUUCGACGGCCCUCUUUGCCAAUGGAAAUAAUAUUGUUAUUUUCGUGGGUCUUUUUCAGCCGCUGGAAAUAAAGAUUUUUUUAAAUAAAAAAUAAAUAAGUAAAAAAAUCAUAUAAAUCAUAGAACAAUUAGGAAAAAUCAUAGAAAAAUUAUACAACAUCAUAUAGUUGAGAAUGCACUUUCCAUCACACAUGUCCAGAAAGGUCAUCUAAAUCUUCACAAGUUCAAAUAUCAUCCUAAUACAAUAACAGUACAUAUUAGUUCAACUAAGAAGCAAGUCUAGCUCCUUGUUGUAGUGUUCAGACCUCACAAUAGUAACAUGACAAAUUGAAAGGGAAAUGUGUCAUUGGGCUAUUUCUACAAAUGUUUUGGUGAUUAAGUGUCCAACACAAAUGUUUUGAACUACUUAUGUGUUAAACAAGCAAAAGGUGCAAAUCAAAGAUAAGGUAUGUUUUUAGACUUAGUGUAUUGUUUUUGAGUACUAACAUGGUUAUCUAAGUGCUAGAAACAGUGAGAAAAGAAACUGAAAAGACUUAGCUCUGUGCAGCCAAAUUCAGCUCAUUCUGGCACACCAGACUGUCCGGUGAUGCACCGGACAGUGUCCGGUGCGCCAGGCUGGUCUCCGGUGAAAGUGUUGUUCUCGGGAAUCGACAGUGGCGUACGGCUAAAAAUCACCGGACUGUCCGGUGAGUCAUCCGCGGUGAACUCGUCGCUCUCGGGAAACGGAAAAGGCAACGUGGCUAUAAUUCACCGGACUGUUCGGUGAGCCAACGGUCGGCCGCGCAAUCUUCGCGCGACGCGUGGCAGCUCCAACGGUCGGCGGGGGGCACCGGACUGUCCGGUGUGCACCGGACAGUGUCCGGUGUGCACCGGACAGUGUCCGGUGCGCCAACGGGCCCAGAGCUGCAACGGUCGUCUGUGCCCGAUUUGGAAGGAAAUCACGCACCGGACAUGCUACAGUAGCUAUCCGGUGGCGCACCGGACUGUCUGGUGCGCCACUCGACAGAAGGCAAGGAUGGCCUUCCAAGUUUAUCUACAACGGAUCCUAGCUGCCUUGGGGCUAUAAAAGGGACCCCUAGGCGCAUGGAGGAGUCACCUAAGCAUUCACUAAGCAUUCUAAGACUCCCGCACUCCGCCUCCGCGGAAUUGGUCGACUGUGUUAGUGAUUUGAGCUCCGUUUGAGUCGUGAACUCACUGUGCUACGUUUCGAGCUCAAGUCUUGGCUUGUGUGCGUGUGUGUGCUACGGAUUUGUGUCUUGUGUGUGUUGCUUUUCCCAACCUUACUUCGUGCUUUCUUUGUGAUCUCUAUUGUAAGGGCGAGAGACUCCAAUUUGUGGAGAUUCCUCGCAAACGGGAACAAUACUCUAAAAGAAAAACCGUGGUAUUCAAGUUGAUCAUCGGAUCACUUGAAAGGGGUUGAGUGCAACCCUCGUCCAUCGGGACGCCACAACGUGGAAGUAGGCAAGUGCUACUUGGCCGAACCACGGGAUAAAAAUCACGCGUCUUGUGUUGCUUUCUCUGUGAUUGUUGUGUUCACAAGAACUCGCUUCAAGCUACUUAGCUGUACUAAUACUUAUAACUAAGUUUUGUGGCUAUUAGUGUUUGAUUUUUACAGGAUCACCUAUUCACCCCCCCCUCCUCUAGGUGCUCUCAAUUGGUAUCAAAGUCGUACUCUUCAUCUAAGGGACUAACUGCCCGAAGAGACUAAGGGAAAGGGGAUGGUGGUCAACGACAAGGAAAAGGGGUCCGUCUUAAAUGAGCCAAGAGAUGACAAGCCUACCGACUCAGGCUCGAGUAACAAGAAAAGAGACGGGAAGAAGAAGAGGCGCAUCAAGAAGAUCAUCUACUACGGCAGCGAUGCAUCUUCUUCUUACCAAGAGACGACGACGACGACUCUUCAUCGAAAAAGAGAACGGUUAAUCAAAACUACUCUUUUGACUAUUCUCGCAUGCCAUACAAUUCAAAUGCACAUUUACUUUCUAUUCCUAUAGGAAAACCUCCACACUUUGAUGGAGAGGACUACUCAUUUUGGAGUCAUAAAAUGUGUAGUCAUCUAUUUUCUCUCCAUCCUAGCAUUUGGGAAAUAGUGGAAAAUGGAAUGCAUUUCGAUAGUAUGGAUAACCCUGUGAUUAUUAAUGAGCAAAUCCAUAAGAAUGCCCAAGCUACUACUGUGUUGUUAGCAUCUCUUUGCAGGGACGAGUAUAGUAAAGUAAGUGGCUUGGACAACGCCAAGCAAAUCUGGGACACCCUCAAGAUCUCACAUGAGGGAAAUGAUGCUACAAUGAUCACCAAAAUGGAACUGGUGGAAGGCGAGCUAGGGAAAUUCGCCAUGAUCAGGGGAGAAGAGCCAACACAAACCUACAAUAGGCUGAAGACCCUGGUCAACAAGAUUAGAAGCUAUGGAAGCAUAAGAUGGAUGAAUCAUGACGUCGUCCGACUCAUGCUCAGGUCAUUUAUAGUUAUUGACCCCCAUCUUGUGAAUCUUAUCCGUGAAAACCCCAGGUACACAAAGAUGAUGCCCGAGGAGAUACUCGGAAAAUUCAUGAGCGGGCGCAUGAUGGUAACGGAGGCACGAUAUGUGGAUGACGCCUUGAACGGUCCACUACCUAUCUACGAGCCGCAGCUCGUUGCUCUCAAAGCAACGAGCAGCAAGGAGGCGCUACCAAGCAGAGUAGCUCAAGUGGAGGCUGUCGGACUUAAUGAAGAUGAGAUGGCGCUUAUCAUCAAGCGCUUCAAGACCGCACUCAAAGGACGCAAGGAAUACCCUAACAGGAAUAAAACAAGGGGAAAACGCUCCUGCUUCAAAUGCGGUAAGACUGGUCACUUUAUUGCAAAUUGUCCCGAUAAUGAUAGUGACUAGGGACAAGAAAAGAGCGGGAAGAAGGAGAAAAAGAAGAACUACAGGAAGGCAAAGGGCGAGGCACAUCUUGGAAAGGAAUGGGACUCAGACUGCUCCUCUUCCAACUCCGAUGACGAAGGACUCGUUGCUUCGGCCUUCAACAAAUCCUCACUCUUCCCCAACGAACACCAUACAUGUCUAAUGGCCAAGGAGAGAAAGGUAUGUGUUCGGGACACACCCAAGUACACUUCAUCUAGUGAUGAAGAAUCCUCCGAUGAUGAAGUAUAUUACUCUAGUUUAUUUAAAGGUUUAGAUAAAGCUAAAGUAGAAAAAAUUAAUGAAUUAAUUGAUGCUCCAAAUGAAAAAGAUAGAUUGUUAGAAAAACAAGAGGAUAUUUUAUAUGAGGAACAUGAAAAAUUUGUUAGUGUGCAAAAAUCCCUUGCCUUAGAAAUUAAGAGAAAUGAAAUGUUAUCCUCUGAAUUGUCUGUUUGCCAUGAAUCGGUCUCUAGUUUAAAGAGUUUAAAUGAUGAACUAAAUGCUAAGCUAGAGGAAGUCAACAAAACUAGUUCAUGUGUAGAUCAUGUUGUUAUUUGUAAUAGAUGUAAGGAUUUUGAUGUUGAUGCUUGUGAUGAUCACCUUAUUUCUAUUACCAAAUUAAAAGAUGAGGUGGCAAGUCUCAAUGCUCAACUUAAGACUUGCAAAAUUAAUUUUGAUAAAUUAAAAUUUGCUAGGGAUGCCUACACCGUUGGUAGACACCCUUCAAUUAAGGAUGGGCUUGGUUUUCGAAAGGAAGCCAAGAACAUAACAAGCCAAAGGGCUCCCAUUCCCAACAAGGAGAAAGGGAAGGCUCCUAUGGUUAGUAAUCCUCAAAGGAACCAUGUUUUUAUUUAUGAUAGGAAAAGUGCUAAUCGUGCUUGUUAUAAUAGGAGUUAUGAUCAUGAUGCUUUUAAUUCACAUGCUAUGUUUGCCUCUAGUUCUACUUUUGUUCAUGGUAGAAGUAGGCCUAGGAGAAAUCAUGUUGUUCAUCAUGUGCCUAGGAAAAUGUGCAAUGAAUCUACUACUGUUUUCCAUGCUUGCAACACUUCUUUUGUUCUUUCAUGUAAGAAUGCAAAAGUAGUGGCUAGGAAAUUUUGAUCCAAAUGCAAGGGAGACAAUACCUGCAUAUGGGUUCCAAAAACUAUUGUGACUAACUUUGUAGGACCCAACAAGAGUUGGGUACCUAAAACCCAAGCUUAAAUUCCUUGCAGGUUUAUGCAUCCGAGGGCUCAAGCUGGAUUAUCGAUAGAGGAUGCACAAACCACAUGACGGGGGAGAAGAAGAUGUUCACCCCCUACGUCAAGAACAAGGAUUCCCAGGAUACGAUUAUCUUUGGAGAUGGGAAUCAAGGCAAGGUCAAGGGUUUGGGAAAGAUAGCCAUCACCAAUGAGCACUCCAUAUCAAAUGUAUUUCUAGUAGAGUCGCUUGGUUACAACCUUCUGUCUGUAAGUCAAUUAUGUCACAUGGGUUACAAUUGUCUUUUUACAAAUGUUUAUGUAUCUGUCUUUAGAAGGAGUGAUGGUUCAUUAGCUUUUAAGGGUGUAUUAGACGGCAAACUCUACUUAGUUGAUUUUUCGAAAGAGGAGGUCGAUCUAGAUGCAUGCUUAAUAGCUAAGACUAGUAUGGGCUGGCUAUGGCAUCGCCGUCUAGCACAUGUUGGGAUGAAGAACCUUCAUAAACUUCUAAAGGGAGAACAUGUGUUAGGACUAACCAAUGUUUGUUUCAAGAAAGAUAGACCAUGUGCAGCUUGUCAGGCAGGGAAACAGGUGGGAAGCACUCAUCACAGCAAGAAUGUGAUGACAACAUCAAGACCACUGGAGCUUCUUCACAUGGACCUCUUCGGACCCGUUGCCUACCUUAGCAUCGGGGGAAGUAAGUAUGGUCUUGUAAUUGUUGAUGAUUUUUCCCGCUUCACUUGGGUGUUCUUUUUGCAGGAUAAAUCAGAAACCCAUGGGACCCUAAAGUGCUUUCUAAGGAGGGCUCAAAACGAAUUUGAGCUCAAGGUGAAAAAGAUAAGAAGCGACAACGGGUUCGAGUUCAAGAAUCUGCAAGUGGAGGAAUAUCUUGAGGAAGAAGGCGUCAAGCAUGAGUUCUCUGCUCCCUACACACCACAGCAAAAUGGUGUGGUAGAGAGGAAGAACAGGACGCUUAUCGACAUGGCGAGAACGAUGCUUGGAGAAUUCAAGACGCCCGAGCGGUUUUGGUCAGAAGCUGUGAACACAGCUUGCCACGCCAUAAACCGGCUCUACCUACAUCGCCUUCUCAAGGGGACCUCGUAUGAACUCCUUACCGGUAACAAACCCAAUGUUUCUUACUUUCGUGUAUUUGGGAGCAAAUGUUACAUUCUGGUGAAGAAAGGUAGACAUUCUAAAUUUGCUCACAAGGCAGUAGAAGGGUUUUUACUAGGGUAUGACUCAAAUACAAAGGCAUAUAGAGUCUUCAACAAAUCAUCGGGUCUGGUUGAAGUCUCUAGCGAUGUUGUAUUUGAUGAGACUAAUGGCUCCCCAAGAGAGCAAGUUGAUCUUGAUGACAUAGAUGAAGAUGAUGUUCCGACUGCCGCAAUGCGCACGAUGGUGAUAGGUGAUGUGUGACCACAGGAACAACAAGAGCAAGAUCAGCCAUCUUCCUCCACAAUGGUUCAUCCUCCAACUCAAGACGGUGAACAGGUACCUCAAGAAGAGGGACAGGAUCAAGGGGGAGCACAGGAAGAACAAGUGAUGGAGGAAGAAGCACCACAGGUCCCUCCAACUAAAGUUUGAGCGACGAUCCAAAGAAAUCACCCCGUCGAUCAGAUUCUAGGUGACAUAAGCAAGGGAGUAACACCUCGCUCACGUUUAGCUAAUUUUUGUGAGCAUUACUCGUUUGUCUCUUCUAUUGAGACUUUCAGGGUAGAAGAGGCCUUGCAGGAUCCGGACUGGGUGUUGGCCAUGCAGGAAGAGCUCAACAACUUCAAGAGGAAUGAAGUUUGGAGCAUGGUGCCACGUCCAAAGCAAAAUGUUGUGGGAACCAAGUGGGUGUCCCGCAACAAGCAAGACAAGCACGGGGUGGUGACAAGAAACAAGGCUCGACUUGUGGCAAAAGGUUAUGCCUAAGUCGCAUGUUUGGAUUUCCAGGAGACUUUUGCUCCUGUGGCUAGGCUAGAGUCUAUUCGAAUUUUAUUAGCCUAUGCCGCUCACCACUCCUUCAGGCCAUUUCAAAUGGAUGUGAAGAGCGCUUUCCUCAAUGGGCCAAUAAAGGUGGAGGUAUACGUGGAACAAGCACCUGGCUUUGAGGAUGACAGGUACCCUGACCAUGUGUUCAAGCUCUCUAAGGCGCUCUAUGGACUUAAGCAAGCACCAAGAGCAUGGUAUGAAUGCCUUAGAGAUUUCUUAUUUGCUAAUUCCUUCAAGGUUGGGAAAGCCGAUCCCACUCUUUUUACAAAGACUUGUGAUGGUGAUCUUUUUGUGUGCUAGAUUUUUGUCGAUGACAUAAUAUUUGGUUCUACUAAUCAAAAGUCUUGUGAGGAGUUUAGCAGGGCGAUGACACAAAAGUUUGAGAUGUCGAUGAUGGGCGAGUUGACCUACUUCCUUGGGUUCCAAGUGAAGCAACUCAAGGACGGCACCUUCAUCUCCUAAAUGAAGUACACACAAGAUCUUCUCAAGUUGUUUGGGAUGAAGGACGCCAAGCCCGCGAAGACACCAAUGGGAACCGACGGGCAUGUUGACCUCAACAAAGGAGGUAAGUCUGUUGAUUAAAAGGCAUACCGGUCUAUGAUAGGUUCAUUGCUUUAUUUAUGUGCUAGUAGACCGGACAUUAUGCUAAGUGUAUGCAUGUGUGCUAGAUAUCAAUCCAACCCUAAGGAAUGUCACCUUGUGGCCGUUAAGCGAAUUCUUAGAUAUUUAGUUUCUACGCCUUGCUUAGGGAUCUGGUAUCCAAAGGGGUCUACCUUUGACUUGAUUGGAUACUCAGACUCCGAUUAUGCCGGGUGCAAGGUUGAUAGGAAGAGCACAUCGGGGACGUGCCAAUUUCUAGGAAGGUCCCUGGUGUCCUAGAGUUCAAAGAAACAAACAUAUGUUGCCCUAUCCACCGCUGAGGCCGAGUAUGUUGCCACAGGACAAUGUUGCGCGCAACUACUUUGGAUGAGGCAAACCCUCCGGGACUUUAGCUACAAUCUGAGCAAAAUCCCACUUCUAUGUGACAAUGAGAGUGCUAUCCGCAUGGCGGAUAAUCCUGUUGAACACAGCCGCACUAAGCACAUAGACAUCCGGCAUCACUUCCUCAGAGACCACCAGCAAAAGGGAGAUAUCGAGGUGUACCAUAUUAGCACCGAGAACCAGCUAGCCGAUAUCUUUACCAAGCUGUUGGAUGAGAAAACUUUUUGCAGGUUGCGUAGUGAGCUAAAUGUCUUAGAUUCGCGUAACUUGGAUUGACCUAUAGCAUACAUGUGCUCUAUGCCUUUGAUCAUGUUACUUUGAAGCAUUUACAUUACUCGUUGUAUAUUUGUGGUGCUCAAGUUGUACAAGACCUCCCCGGACCUCACAAGUCCAUAUGCAAGUGAUGCACAUAUUAAGGGGAGAUGUGCUACAACUUGACCCUUUGAGUCUAACCUGUGUGUUUGAGUACUCUUGAUGUAGUCUUAAAGGGAAUUGAAAGGGAAAAUGGACUUGACCGUUGCAAAGACUUCCACUGCACUCUGAUAUUGGUGUAUUUAAUUCCAAGUUCAUUCUUAUGCUCUAUUAGCCUUUUUGCUCUUAAUUGACAUUUUUGGUGAGGCAAUGGGGUUAAAAGGGGCCAAAAAUGAUCCCAUUUUGGUGCUUAAUGCCAAAGGGGGAGAAAUUAAGGGCCAAAGCAAAUGGAUCAGCUACCACUUGUGGAUUUUAAAAAAAUUAGAGUUAGAACUUUUGAUUUGUCCAAAAUACUCUUAUUGCAAAAUUUGGUCUCUUGUGGGGAGAAUUUUGAUUAUGGGAAAAGGGGGAGUUUUUGGCACUUGAUCAAUUUUUCUCUUGGAAUAUCUCUCUAUAUGCCCAAACAAGUGUGUUUGACUUAGAGAUAGGAAAAUGAAUUUGAUUUGCAACAACAAACCAAGUGGUGGCAAAGAGUGAUCCAAAUAUGCCAAAUUAUAGUCAAAAACAAUUUGGUCUUCAAUUGCAUUGAUGUUACAGUUCUUUUUGUUGCUUUUUGAUGUGUUGGCAUAAAUCACCAAAAAGGGGCAGAUUGAAAGGGAAAUGUGUAAUUGGGCCAUUUCUAUAAGUGUUUUGGUGAUUAAGUGUUCAACACAAAUGUUUUGAACUCUUUAUGUGUUAAACAAGCGAAAGGUGCAAAUCAAAGACAAGGUAUGUUUUUAGACUUAGUGAAUUGUUUUUGAGUACUAACAUGGUUAUCUAAGUGCUAGAAACAGUGAGAAAAGAAACCGAAAAGACUUGGCUCUGUGCAGCCAAAUUUAGCUCAGUCUGGCACACCAGACUGUCUGGUGAUGCACCAGAAAGUGUCCGGUGCGCCAGGCUGGUCUCCGGUGAAAGUGCUGCUCUCGGGAAUUGAUGGCGGCGUACGGCUAAAAAUCACCGGACUGUCUGGUGGUGCACCGGAUUGUCCGUUAAGUCAUCAGCGGUGAACUCGUCACUCUCGGGAAAUGGAAAAGGCGACGUGGCAAUAAUUCACCGGACUGUCUGGUGGUGCCCCGGACUGUCCGGUGAGCCAACGGUCCCUAGCGCCAACGGUCGGCCAUGCAAUCUUCGUGCGACGCGUGGCAGCUCCAACGGUCGGUGGGAGGCACCGGACUGUCCGGUGUGCACCGGACAGUGUCCGGUGCGCCAACGGGCCCGGAGCUGCAACGGUCGUCUGUGCCCGAUUUGGAAGGAAAUCGCGCAACGGACAGGCUACAGUAGUUGUCCAGUGGUGCACCGGACUGUCCGGUGCGCCACUCGACAGAAGGCAAGGAUGGCCUUCCAAGUUUGUCUUCAACGACUCCUAGCUGCCUUUGGGCUAUAAAAGGGACCCCUAGGCGCAUGGAGGAGUCACCUAAGCAUUCACUAAGCAUUCUAAGACUCCCGCACUCCGCCUCCGCGCAAUUGAUCGACUGUGUUAGUGAUUUGAGCUCCGUUUGAGUCGUGAACUCACUGUGCUACGUUUCGAGCUCAAGUCUUGGCUUAUGUGCGUGAGUGUGCUGCGGAUUUGUGUCUUGUGUGUGUUGCUUUUCCCAACCUUACUUCAUGCUUUCUUUGUGAUCUCUAUUGUAAGGGCGAGAGACUCCAAUUUGUGGAGAUUCUUCGCAAACGGGAACAAUACUCUAAAAGAAAAAAUGUGGUAUUCAAGUUGAUCAUCGGAUCACUUGAAAGGGGUAGAGUGCAACCCUCGUCCAUUGGGAUGCCACAACGUGGAAGUAGGCAAGUGCUACUUGGCCGAACCACGGGAUAAAAAUCGUGCGUCUUGUGUUGCUUUCUCUGUGAUUGUUGUGUUCACAAGAACUCGCUUCAAGCUACUUAGCCGUACUAAUACUUAUAACUAAGUUUUGUGGCUAUUAGUGUUUGAUUUUUACAGGAUCACCUAUUCACCCCCCCUCUAGGUGCUCUCACAAAGAUCCGAUGGCCACACAAUGUCUGACGGCUUCCUAGAGCCAUCAGACAUAAGAUCCAACGUCUGACUGCUGUCAGACAGGCCGUCGGCGAUAACCUUAUGUCCGACGGCCUGUCUGAUAGCCAUCGGACAUAGCCUUAUGUUCGACGGCUGUCAGACAGGCCAUUGUACAUAAGUGAUUUUAUGCCACGGCGCCCAACCGCGCCGUUUCAUUUCGCUCCCCCAGCCAACUCACGCCCACCCGCCGCCGACGCCCGUGCCCGUCGCUCGCAGUCGCUCAUACCGCCGGCGCCCGCCCCGCCACCGCAGGCGCCCGCUCCUCCCCCAGUAACCCUCCGAUUAUAAGGAUCCUCCUACGCCUGAGGUUCAAAAGUUCUUCAAGCUCCUUACAGCUGCCGAAGAGCCGCUGCAUGAGCACACGAAAGUGACCGUCCUUGUGUUCGUGACUCGACUUAUGGCUAUUAAGUCCAAGUUUGCAUUCUCAAACAACUGCUAUAAGGAGCUUCUGAACUUGAUUAGUGAUGUAUUUCCAGAGAAUCACAAGAUGCCAAAGGACAUGUACCAGUCCAAGAAGUUGCUCUCUGGUCUCGGUAUGGACUACGAAAAAAUCGACGUCUGUGACAAUAAUUGUAUGCUUUUCUGUAAGGAGACCACGAGUGAGAAGAAGUGUAUAGUAUGUGGUGAGCGUAGGUUCAUAGAGGUUGAAAACGGCGAUGGUUUGACCGUGAUGACCGAGGUAGCAUGUAAGCAGCUUCGUUACAUACCUCUUAUACCUUGGUUGAAACGUUUGUUCAUCUCCAAGAAUACAGCCUGACACAUGAGGUGGCACAAAGAAGGCGUACGUGAGAAUCCAGAUGUCAUGGCGCACCCAGCUGAUACAGAUGCAUGGAAGGCACUAGAUGCCUUUGAUUCCAGCUUUGCUAAUGAAGUGUGUAAUGUCUGCAUCGAUUUGGCAACAGAUGGUUUCUCACCUUUCAAUCUAACUGCACCAUCCUACUCAUGCUGGCCCGUCUUUGCUGUUCCAUACAACAUUUCGCUAGCUCUUUGCAUGAAAUAUGAAUUUAUUUUCUUGUGUCUUGUAAUACCUGGUCCGGAUCAUCCUAGAACAAAGAUCGAUGUGAUGAUGAGACCCCUGAUUAAAGAAUUGAAAAUUUUGUGGGAAGGAGUCGAGACGUACGAUUGUUACAAGAAAUAGAAGUUCAACCUAAGAGCUGCAUUUUUGUGGUCGAUUCACGAUUUUAUGGCUUAUGGUAUCUUUGCUGGAUGGAGUUGUCAUGGGUUCUGACAUGUUCGAUAUGCGCUGAAGACACUUUAUGCUUCUGACUAAAGUUUGGUGGAAAGAUAUGUUACUUCAAUUGCCAUAGAUGUUUUUGCCUGAGGAUCAACCGUUCAGGUUCGAUAGGAACGCUUUUAGAAAGGACAUUAUUGUGACGAGGGGACCACCCAAGCGUCUUAGUGGUCCAGAGAUUCUCGCAAGACUUAAUGAUUUGAGACUAAAUGAACAUGGAAAUUGUUAUGAAGGUUUUGGAACCGAGCAUAAUUGGACUCACAAAUGUGGUCUAUGGAAACUCCCUUAUGUAAAAGCCUUAAUUCUAAUGCAUAACAUCGAUGUGAUACACCAGGAACAAAAUAUGGGUGAAAGCAUUAUCAGCCCUUGCUUGAAUAUCACUAACAAAACAAAGGACAACCCUAAGGCUCGAAAAGACUUGGGCUUAAUUUGUAGUUGACCAACUCUGGAGCUAGGAGAGAACGAGAAGAAGCCAUGUGCUCCUUUCAAUCUUAAAUCUAAAAGGAAGAAACAAUUGAUGAAAUGGUUGCAAAACAUAAAUUUCCUAAAUGGUUACGCCGCGGGCUUUAUAAGGUUUGUGAAUUUGAAGACAGGCAUGUUUUCUGGGUUGAAGAGUCAUGACUACCACAUAAUAAUGGAAAGACUCCUUCCUAUUAUGUUUCGUGGUUUUGUAAAAAAUGAUGUGUGGAAAGCGUUGUCGGAGCUAAGCUACUUUUAUAGACAUCUUUGUGCUAAAGAAAUAAAGAAAGAGAUGAUGGAGAAGCUUGAGCAACAAAUAGCAGUUUUGGUAUGCAAAUAACUUGAAAAAAUAUUUCCUCCAGGUUGCUUCAAUUCGAUGCAACAUCUACUUGUUCACCUACCAUACGAAGCUAAGGUAGGUGGUCCUAUCCAGUAUAGAUGGAUGUAUCACAUCGAAAGGACACUAAAGAAGCUACGUGCAAUGGUUGGUAAUAAGAGAUGAGUUGAAGGGUGCAUUGCUAAAGAAUUCAAAUACAAAGAGAUAGCAUCAUUCACGGGCCUGUACUUUAUAGAGGAAAAAAAUGUCAAUGCCCUUGCGUUGCGGUAUCAUGUCGACGAGCCCCCUAUCAGUGAUAUUGAAAUUUUUCAAAGGAGGGACAAAACUGUAGGACCCAUCAUAGCAUACUGUUUCACCAAUGAUGAAUGGAAGACUGCUUUACUCUACAUGUAUAACAACAUGGAAGAGAUGAAUCAGUUUCUCCUGUAAGUGUAAACUUAAUUUUUAGUCAUUGUCGCUAUCCUUGUUUUUCUUAUCCUAAUAGGUCUAUUUCCUUGUACUAACAGUGAAUUUGAUUCUCAAAAUUCGAUGUCUGGUAGUGAACGUGAUCAGAUUCGUCGAGAGGAAAAAGAUGGGGGACCUAAUUUCUUGUGUUGGUUUCGAGAUUAUGUAGAUAUAAAUUACAAUAUACACCCAAACCUUCGACAAUUGUCCCUAGGAGCAGUAACUAUCAUACAUUAUGGUCGGUAUGAUGUCAAUGGUUUCCGUUUUCGUUCUACAAGGUUCGAAGAUGCUCAUCCUCUAGCAGCCACAACAAAUUCUAGAGUUGUAACUAGAGUUGUCGAUGAUGAAGGGAAGGUGACUAAUUAUUAUGGAGUCAUUAAUGAUAUACUCGAGUACAAGUUUUUUGGAGAUGAACAACUCAAAGUGGUGGUCUUCGAUUGUGAUUAGUUUACUCCAAAUACAACGCAAGAAAACCAAUAUGGCAUGGUGGAAGUCAAACACAACGAUCGAUUACAAGGCCACGACACUAUUUUUUGUAGAAACGGUACAAGUUGCCGGAAGAUGGGUCAUAUGAUCUGAACGCUCAUUACAUGUUUGAGUAUAACGCGAACGAUGUUGUUGCAGAUGCAAUGUACUAUGCAUGACUUCAGGCUAUAAAGGCAUGGUACAGGGCAAGUGAUGAUGAUCGGCUGAUGUCGAAGACCAAGGCAGAGUGGUCAUCAAUUUACCUUACGGAGGAGUAAUACCUUGAGGUAAACAAAUUGUUGCAUCUCAUAUCGUUUUUUGCCGAUUCUUGUUUUGGGUACAUGUUAAUCCAUCUAUUUGUUUGAUUGAAAAACAUUUCAUGUAGGUGUCUAUGCCUGAGAUGGCCACCCAAUCAGAAGGUUAUCGGGCCUUAUGCAGUUGGUGGGCUUCCCCUAAGUUUCAUGCCAUUUGAAGUGUCCCGAUCCUCUGGGACUCAAAUGUGAUACAAUUACUAGUCCCAGGAGGCUAGUAAACACAUUUAUACAUUAGAUGAUUCCAGAUCUGCUUAAACGAGACAAACCUAUAAAGGUGGCGAACAACUUUAAGAGUUGGUCCACAACUCAGGACAUAUCAUCAGAGUGGGGCUGAAGCAGCCCGAUAUACGUAGCGAAACAAAUCAGCGGUCCAACAGCCACAGGCAAGGUUGGGAACAGGCGUAACUCUUACCCGAUCUCCUUAGCAGCCCACCUUCACCUGCGGAAUGGGGAAACAGAUAUAAUGCAUGGAAUAUGUGGAGCUCAGGAUAUUUUGCAGAAACAGCAAUAUUUUAUGCAGGGUUGUUUUGAAAAACAUUUGUAUUUUGCAAAGCGCAUCCUCUCCAAAAGGAGCAGGAAGUUUUUCAGUAUUAUAAUAAAAUCCCCUGGACUAAACCAUCUAGGUAUCUCAGCAUUUUCCCACUGGUUUUCCUUUUCAAAAACAGCUACUGGACUUCCCGUCCACCAUAGCUCACGGCUCAACCGCCGAACCUUUUAAAAACCACUUUUCUCAAACGCACCCUUUUUGAAAACCAAACAUUAAUUGUCAUACCAUACCAGACUCGUCCAUUCCUGUGGACACAGACUAUUCGAAUAGGUUUGAACUCUGCGCAGAGGGGUACACUUUACCCACUAGUCCGGCUCUGCGAUCUCAUGAUCAAUGAGAUCCGAAUCCGAAUCCCUUUCCUUCCCCGCACGUCCUAACCUUAACGGUUAUACCGGAAGGAGUCAGGCCACCGCCAUGUCCAAACCGGAAAAAACAUUCCCCCUCCUUAUCCUCCCGGUGCUCCCCAGCCUUCGUAACCCUGGGGUUGGACCGUACGAGUUCAGAUUGAGUGACUGCCCACACAGUCUCGAGUGGUUGUACUUAUCAUGAGUACAGGUAGUGAAAGAUGACAAAUCGGUCCUUAUAAGAGGGUACAAUCCUUCUGCUCACGCCUAAACCAGCUGAGCCAUCACCUUAGGCCCUCCCCUAAACCAGGGAGUCCCUGAUCAUCCCUACUCAAAGGUGAUAAGGGUGAAAACCCUUCAUCAUACACAUUUUGAAAAGCAUUUUCUUUUGAAAACUCACACCUUUUCUCAAAUCAUUUGGAACAAAUAUAUCAAGGAUUGAUUGCGGCAAGCGGCUGGGUGGCCAUAAUAACUUGUCUCAAAAUCAUAUCAUGCAUAAAAUAACAGGCUGAGGGUUGUGGUUGAACAAUCAUAGGUAAUUUAUGCAUCAAAGGGAUCCAGUGAGCUUGCCGUGCUUAUCCGGCGAAGGGGAAAUAGGAGCUCGCGGAACUGGCUUCUAGCUCCACUGCCUGGUGUAGACUUGCAGAUCUGGCCUCCACGAGACGGCACGAACGCUCGAUAACUAUGCAACAUGAACAAACAAACAUACAAACCAACAAUUAUACCAACAAAUAUUUAGUAUAGUGGUCAGAAUAGCGAUAUAUGGGUGGGUAGAGUCGUGAGUAGAAUCUGUGUCAUGUGGUGUUGAGAUACUGCUGGUGGUGAAGCGAAGGUGCUUACCAGGAGGGUGGACUGGAGACAAAGCGACACUAUGUGUGUAGCCAGCAGAGCGGAGUAACUGAGUGGGUAGGGUGUUUGCCUUGGCUGAGGGUGUUGAGUGUGUGUGGAGAGGGAGAGGGUGGCUGGGUCUAUUUAUAGCUGAGUGUAGGUGGUGUAGCACAGUGAAGUUCACUGUUGGUGAGAAUAGUGACGAAUGAAUCGUCUCACUUAGUAUGAAUAGGAGAGUUAUAGGCAGAAUAUGGGACAAGAGUAUUUUGGGAGUUUUUUUUUGGAAUAUGGACCAUGCUUAAGGGAUGAUAUGGUUGGAUAGGGAAUAGUUUGAUAAGAAUUUAGAAACAAGAAUUAUUGGAAUCGGAGUUUGGAAGCCUGGUUCGAAGGAAUCUUAAAGUUAAGCGUGCUCAACUUGGAGAAACCUGGGAUGGGUGACCAGAUGGGAAGUUCCCACUAGAAGGAAAAUCAUAGUCACCGGAGUUCGUAUGACUGAAAUAUGGGUCUGGCUGGUUUUAGGUGGACUGGACAGCAUGAUGUAUGAGUAGUUGAAAUUUGGGGUGAUCGGCUAAUCGAUGAAUAGUAACUAUGAAUAGUGACGACGAAAAAGUUACUAUAGAUAUCAUCGAUGAGUAGUAACGAUGAUAAAUAGUAACGAUGAUGAAUAGUAACAAUGAAUAGUAACGAUAGUGAAUAGUCUCGGUGAAUAGUAACGAUGAAUAGUAAUGGUGAAUAGUGAUGGUGCAUAGUUUGUAUGAACGAACGAUGAAUAGGAACUAUGAACGAACGAACGAACGAUCGAAUGAUCGGACGAACGAACAAUCGGAUUUUCGGCAGCAUAACAGCAGGACAAAGAUUAUCUGGAAGAACGAUGAAUAGAGACUAUGAACGAACGAUGAACGAUGAAUAGGAACUAUGAACGAACGAUGAACGAUCGAAUGAUCGAACGAACGAACGAUCGGAAUUUCGGCAGCAUAACGGCAGGAAAAAGAUUAUUUGGAUGAACGAACGGACGAACGAUCGAAUGAUCGGACGAACGAACGAUCGGAAUUUCGGCAGCAUAACGGCAGGACAAAGAUUAUCUGGAAGAACGAUGAAUAGGGACUAUGAACGAACGAUGAAUAGGAACUAUGAAUGAACGAUGAACGAUCGAAUGAUCGAACAAACGAACGAUCGGAAUUUCGACAACAUAACGGUAGGAAAAAGAUUAUUUGGACGAACGAACGGACGAACGAUCGAACGAUCGGACGAACGAACGAACUAAGAACAGGGGACGAACGAUCGAAUGAUCCUUGUGCUAGUGUGUGAUUGUGUGGAACAUGGAGUGGGUGUGUGUGGGGGGGAAGAGAGUUGCCAUGAAAUGGCUUGGGGUGGGAUGAGAGGAGGCCCUUGCCCCUCUAUUUAUAGCCAUGGUAGGGGGAUUAGGGGGAGGGAUGAGAGGAUUAGUGGGAGGAUGAGAGGAUUAGUGGGAGAUUAGCAUGGAUUUGUCUUAUAUGAGUGUAAUUAGCUUGUAUAGCUCAACGUAUGACACCGGAGGCAUACGUAUACGUAUGAACAUGAAGAAAGUUAUGAAGAAAAUAUUUGUGGGGACUUCAAAAAUGAUUCUGAAGGUAUUUCUCAAGAGGAAAAUACCUGGAGAUAUAUCGGUGGAAUAUUUGGGCAGUAUUUCUGGAAAGAACUUGAAGAGGAUCACUAGGGAAAUAUCUCGGCAGUAUUUCUGUAAACAAUUUGAGGGGGAUCACUGGGGAAAUAUUUGUAGGAUAUUUUGAGGAGGAUUUUAGAGAGAAUAUAGACCACUAUACUUUAUUUGUUGAUAUCAACUCACAAACAAACAUUUUGAAAUGAAAUUUGAAAUUCAUUUUGAAUUUAGAGCGAGUUUGAGAAAAUUUCAGGAUUUGAAUUUUUGGGAUGCUACAAAUCUACCCCACUUAAAAGGAAUCUCGUCCUCGAGAUUCGGCUUAGAAGGGUUAUGGGUAUAGCUUUACUUCAGCUACAUAUCUUCACUUUGCAACUCUUCGAGGAGAUAGAGCUUCAACAGAAUCUGGCCUUUGAGGGGCAUUCGGUUGCUGAUUGCAAACGCUGAUUCUGGCUACUCAAAGAUCAUCUUCAGGCUUCUAGCUUUUGCUUGGCAGCUAGCUUAUUGAAGAAGCAUCGAUGCCAACACACAAACCUUCUUCUUGCGAACUCCCACAUGGAUUCCUUCAUUGAUUGGUCUUCUAGUGCUUCAUCAACGGAACUUGGGUGACCACUUCUCAUCCAGAAACUCAUAUGCUUCGAUGAUCUGGUCCUCCACAAGCUUGCUACAGGCCUUCUUCUUUUUCUCCAUAGCAGGAACUUUACUGGAACACUACCCCACUUAAAAAGAAUGAGGGUAGAACUCUUGAAUCUUGGGGAUUUGAACUCCUUGAAGUACCUCAUAACAAGGGUGUUACGGGGCCUUCUUCUGCUGUUGCUGCUUGACCAGGCUGCGGAGAGAUGACUGACACAGGGUUGAUUCUGGGAGAACCUUCUUCUUAUCUUCUCUUCACUUAUCUUCUUUUCUCUUCUCACUUUUCACUUUUCACUGCCUCUUUCUUUCUCUUUGCUCUUCCCACUGGAGGAUUCUAUCAAAGAGUAUUACUAUCACACAUUGGAGGAAACCAAAGAUUAUGAACCAUGUACAACAGUCUUCAACCCAAGAAUCACCAAGCAUUGUGAUCUUAGGGGCGAGGGAGUGGAAAAUGGAGUUGCUUGCUAUUUGGCAGAGGGUAUUUUAUCGGGAGUGUUUUGCUUGGGAUGGGAACUGAGGGAGCUGGUGCGGAAGUUUUAUAGGCGAGCGGUAUGCGAGGUGGUGCUUGGGUGCGGAGUGGUGGUGAUGGAGUAGGUGCCACGUGGCAGCGGAUGCGACGGAGGGGAAAGGGGGGCCUGGUGUUGCCGGCGACAAUGGUGGCGGUGGAUGUGCUGCUGAGAGCACCUAGAGGGGGGGGUGAAUAGGUGAUCCUGUAAAAACUUCAAACUUAAGCCACAAAAACUUGUUAAGUGUUAGCACGAUUAUUGCCAAGUGGCUAAGGUGAAGUCUCAACAAAACACAGUACCACAAGAGAAUCAAGCACAGAGUGACACAGUGGUUUUAUCCCGUGGUUCGGCCAAGACCAACGCUUGCCUACUCCACGUUGUGGCGUCCCAACGGACGAGGGUUGCAAUCAACCCCUCUCAAGCGGUCCAAAGACCCACUUGAAUACCACGGUGUUUUGUUUUCCUUUCACUAUCCCGUUUGCAAGGAAUCUCCACAAAUUGGAGUCUCUUGCCCUUACAAGUAUAUGAUCACAAAUGAAACACAGAGUAAGGGAGGGAAGCAACACACACAAAUCCACAGCAAAAGCGCACACACACGGCCAAGAAUCGAGCUCACAAGACUAUCUCAGAGUUCUUACUUAGAACAGAGCUCGAAUCACUUAGAAACAUAAACGAAUGCGCAGAUACUUAGUGUGGAUGAUCAAGAAUGCUCAAAGGUUGCUUGUGUGUCUCCUCCAUGCGCCUAGGGGCUCCUUUUAUAGCCCCAAGGCAGCUAGGAGCCGUUGAGAGCAAAUCCGGAAGGCCAUCCUUGCCUUCUGUCGUCGGGGGCACCGGACAGUCCGGUGCACACCGGACACUGUCCGGUGCCCGAUUUGUUUCCUUAAACGGCGAAGACGACCGUUGCAGACCGUUGGCAGAUCUGGCGCUGUUGGCGCACCGGACAUGUCCGGUGCACACCGGACAGUCCGGUGAAUUUUAGCCGUACGCCACCGGCCAAUUUCCCGAGAGCGGCCAGUUCGAGUCGCGCCAGCCUGGCGCACCGGACACUGUCCGGUGCACACCGGACAGUCCGGUGCUCCAGACCGAGCUGGGUCUUGGCAGCACACAGCCAAGUCCCUUCUCCUUUUCUCUAUUCUUCUUCUUUCUGUUUCUAACACUUAGACAAAUAUAUUAGUACUUAAAACCAAUGUACUAAGGCUUAGAAACAUACCUUUACUUCAUGAUUUUCACCUUGUUCAUCCAUGUACAUAAAUUCCCAAUUAAGCACAUGUGUUGGCACUCAAUCACCAAAAUACAUAGAAAUGGCCCAAGGGCACAUUUCCCUUUCAAUCUCCCCCUUUUUGGUGAUUUAUGCCAACACAACAUAAAGCAACUAGAACAAGUGCAAAAUCACUUUAAAUAAAAACUCAAAUUGGUUUUAUUCAAUUUUGGCAUAUAUGGAUCAUCCUUUGCCACCACUUGGUUUGUUUUUGCAAAUCAAACUCAAAUCUCUAUCUCUAAGUCAAACACACAUGUUGAAGUAUAAAGAGAGUCAUUCCAAAAGAGAUUGAUCAAAGAUUUCAAAAACUCCCCCUAUUUCCCAUAAUCAAUACUUCUCCCCACAAGAAACCAAUUAUUGACAAGAGAGACAACAUAAGAAUUUUGACAAACCAAAAAUUCUAUUCUACUAUUUUCAAAAUCUCUCAAGUGGUAGCUGAUCCAUUUAUUGCUUUGGCCUUUAUUUUCUCCCCCUUUGGCAUCAAGCACCAAAACGGGAUCAAUCUUGGCCCUAUAACCCCAUUGCCUCACCAAAAUCUUCAAUUAAGAGCAAAUGGCAAUGAGAGUUCAUGAGAUGAACUUGGAAUUAGUUACCCUCUCAUCGGAGUGCAGUGGAAGUCUUUCAUGGUCCAAGUCCACCUUUCCCUUUCAAUCCUCCUUCGAGACUAAAUCAUCAAACUCAAGCACAUGGUUAGUCUCAAAGGGUCAAGUUGUAACACAUCUCCCCCUAAACAUGUGCAUCACUUUGCAACGGACUUGUGAGGUCCAGGGAGUGUUUGUACAACUUGAGCACCACAAUAAGCAACAAAAUGCAAAAAGGAACAUGAUCAAAAGCAUAAGUACAUGUAUGCUACAAUUCAAUCCAGGUUCCGCGAAUCUAUGACAUUUAGCUCACUACGCAACCUGCAAAAGGUCUUCUCAUCUAGAGGCUUAGUGAAGAUAUCGGCUAGCUGGUUCUCGGUGCUAACAUGAAACACUUCGAUAUCUCCCUUUUGCUGGUGGUCUCUCAAAAAGUGAUGCCGGAUGUCUAUGUGCUUUGUGCGGCUGUGCUCAACAGGAUUCUCCGCCAUGCGGAUAGCACUCUCAUUGUCACAUAGGAGUGGGACUUUGCUCAGAUUGUAGCCAAAGUCCCGGAGGGUUUGCCUCAUCCAAAGUAGUUGCGCGCAACACUGACCUGCGGCAACGUACUCGGCCUCAGCGGUGGAUAGGGCAACGGAUGUUUGUUUCUUAGAAUUCCAUGACACCAGGGACCUUCCUAAGAAUUGGCACGUCCCCGAUGUACUCUUCCUAUCGACCUUACAUCCAGCAUAGUCGGAGUCAGAGUAUCCAACUAAGUCAAAGGUAGACCCCUUUGGAUACCAGAGCCCGAAGCAAGGCGUAGCAACCAAAUAUCUAAGAAUUCGCUUCACCGCCACUAAGUGACACUCCUUAGGAUCGGAUUGAAAUCUAGCACACAUGCAUACACUAAGCAUAAUAUCCGGUCUACUAGCACAUAAGUAAAGCAAAGAACCUAUCAUUGACCGGUAUGCUUUUUGAUCAACGGACUUACCUCCUUUGUUGAGGUCGGUGUGUCCGUCGGUCCCCAUCGGAGUCUUUGCGGGCUUGGCGUCCUUCAUCCCAAACCGCUUUAGCAGAUCUUGCGUGUACUUCGUUUGGGAGAUGAAGGUGCCGUCCUUGAGUUGCUUCACUUGGAACCCAAGGAAGUAGUUCAACUCGCCCAUCAUCGACAUCUCGAAUUUCUGCGUCAUCACCCUGCUAAACUCUUCACAAGACUUUUGGUUAGUAGAACCAAAUAUUAUGUCAUCGACAUAAAUUUGGCACACAAACAAAUCACCAUUACAAGUCUUAGUAAAAAGAGUUGGAUCGGCCUUCCCAACCUUGAAAGCAUUAGCAAGUAAAAAGUCUCUAAGGCAUUCAUACCAUGCCCUUGGGGCUUGCUUAAGUCCAUAGAGCGCCUUAGAGAGCUUACACACAUGGUCGGGGUACCGUUCAUCCUUGAAGCCAGGGGGUUGCUCCACGUACACCUCCUCCUUGAUUGGCCCGUUGAGGAAAGCGCUCUUCACAUCCAUUUGGAACAACCUGAAAGAAUGGUGAGCGGCAUAUGCUAGCAAGAUUCGAAUUGACUCUAGCCUAGCCACAGGAGCAAAAGUCUCCUCAAAAUCCAAACCUGCGACUUGGGCAUAACCUUUUGCCACAAGUCGAGCCUUGUUUCUCGUCACCACCCCGUGCUCGUCCUGUUUGUUGCGGAACACCCACUUGGUUCCCACAACAUUUUGCUUCGGACGAGGCACCAUUGUCCAAACUUCAUUGCGCUUGAAGUUGUUUAACUCCUCUUGCAUGGCCAACACCCAGUCCGGAUCUAGCAAGGCCUCUUCUACCCUGAAAGGCUCAAUAGAAGAGACAAAGGAGUAAUGCUCACAAAAAUUAACUAAUCGAGAUCGAGUAGUUACUCCCUUGCUAAUGUCACCCAGAAUUUGGUCGACGGGAUGAUCCCUUUGAAUCAUCGCUCGAACUUGAGUUGGAGGUGCCGGUUGCGCUUCUUCCUCUAUCACUUGAUCAUCUUGUGCUCCCCCUUGAUCAAGCGCCUCCACUUGAGGUACCUGUUCGUCAUCUUCGGUUGGGGGUUGCACCAUAGUUGAGGAAGAAGGUUGAUUUCGUUCAUCUUGUUCCUGUGGCCGUACUUCUCCAAUCGCCAUGGUCUGUAUAGCGGCCGUCGGAACAUCUUCUUCAUCUACAUCAUCACAAUCAACAACUUGCUCUCUUGGAGAGCCAUUAGUCUCAUCAAAUACAACGUCGCUAGAGACUUCAACCAGACCCGAUGAUUUGUUGAAGACUCUAUACGCCUUUGUAUUUGAGUCAUAACCUAACAAAAACCCUUCUACAGCUUUGGGAGCAAGCUUAGAAUUUCUACCUUUCUUCACUAGAAUGUAGCAUUUACUCCCAAAUACACGAAAGUACGAUACAUUGGGUUUGUUACCGGUUAGUAGCUCAUACGACGUCUUCUUGAGGAGGCGAUGAAGGUAGACCCUGUUGAUGGCGUGGCACGCUGUGUUCACGGCUUCCGUCCAAAAGCACUCGGGGGUCUUGAACUCUCCUAGCAUCGUCCUCGCCAUGUCGAUGAGCGUCCUGUUCUUCCUCUCUACCACACCAUUUUGCUGUGGUGUGUAGGGAGCGGAGAACUCGUGCUUGAUCCCUUCCUCUUCAAGGAACUCCUCCACUUGAAGGUUCUUGAACUCGGACCCGUUGUCGCUUCUUAUCUUUUUCACUUUGAGCUCAAACUCAUUUUGAGCUCUCCUGAGGAAGCGUUUGAGGGUCCCUUGGGUUUCAGACUUAUCCUGCAAAAAGAACACCCAAGUGAAGCGGGAAAAAUCAUCAACAAUAACUAAACCAUACUUACUUCCCCCUAUGCUUAGAUAGGCGACGGGUCCGAAGAGGUCCAUAUGCAGUAGCUCCAGGGGUCUUGACGUGGUCAUCACAUUCUUGCUGUGAUGCGCUCCUCCCACUUGUUUACCUGCUUGACAAGCUGCACAAGGUCUAUCUUUUUCGAAAUACACGUUAGUCAAACCUAUCACGUGUUCUCCCUUUAGAAGCUUUUGAAGGUUCUUCAUCCCCACAUGUGCCAAGCGGCGAUGCCACAGCCAGCCCAUGCUAGUCUUAGCUAUUAAGCAUGCAUCUAGACCGGCCUCUUCUUUUGCAAAAUCAACUAAAUAAAGUUUGCCGUCUAAUACACCCUUAAAAGCUAGUGAACCAUCACUUCUUCUAAAGACAGACACAUCUAUAUUUGUAAACAGACAGUUAUAUCCCAUAUUGCACAAUUGACUAACAGAUAGUAAAUUAUAUCCUAGUGACUCUACUAAAAACACAUUAGAGAUAGAGUGCUCAUUAGAAAUUGCAAUUUUACCUAACCCUUUUACCUUGCCUUGAUUCCCAUCACCGAAUAUGAUUGAAUCUUGGGAAUCCUUAUUCUUGACGUAGGAGGUGAACAUCUUCUUCUCCCCCGUCAUAUGGUUUGUGCAUCCGCUAUCAAUAAUCCAGCUUGAACCCCCGGAUGCAUAAACCUGCAAGGCAAAUUUAGGCUUGGGUCUUAGGUACCCAACUCAUGUUGGGUCCUACAAGGUUAGUGCAAAUAUCCUUAGGGACCCAAAUGCAAGUUUUGUCUCCCUUGCAUUUUGCCCCUAACUUCCUAGCAACAAUUUUCCUAUCCUUUCUACAAAUAGCAAAGGAAGUGUUUAAAGCACAAUAAAUUAUAGAAGGUUCAUUCACUACUUUCCUAGGAGCAUGAAUAACAUUCUUUCUAGGCACAUGAGCAAUAUUUCUCCUAGGCAUAUCCCUAUCAUGCUUAUAAGAAGAACUAGAGGCAAACAUGGCAUGAGAAUCAUAAACAUGUGAAUCAAAAUCAUUAUAAGCAUUUCUAGCAUUUCUCCUAUCAUAAUACAUAAAAGCAUGGUUCUUUUUAGCAUUACUAGCCAUAGGGGCCUUCCCUUUCUCCUUGACGAAGAUGGGAGCCUUAUGGCUUGUUAAGUUCUUGGCCUCUCUCUUGAAGCCAAGACCAUCCUUAAUUGAGGGGUGUCUACCAACCGUAUAGGCAUCCCUUGCAAAUUUUAUUUUAUCAACUUCAUUCUUGCUAGUCUUAAGUUGGGCAUUAAGACUAGCCACUUCCUUAUUUAAUUUGGAAAUUAAAACUAGAUGUUCACUACAGGCAUCAACAUCGAAAUCCUUACACCUAGUGCAAAUCUUAACAUGUUCUACACAAGAGUUAGAUUUAUUUGCUACUUCUAACUUAGCAUUUAAAUCAUUGUUAACACCUUGUAAAGUAGAAAUGGUUUCAUGACAAGUAGAUAGUUCAUAAGAAAGCAUUUCAUUUCUUUUUACUUCUAAAGCAUAUGAUUUUUGUGCCUCUACAAAUUUAUCAUGUUCAUCAUACAAUAAAUCCUCCUGCUUUUCUAAAAGCCUAUCCUUUUCAUUCAAUGCAUCAAUCAAUUCAUUGAUUUUAUCUAUCUUAGAUCUAUCUAAGCCCUUGAACAAGCAUGAAUAAUCUAUGUCAUCAUCACUAGACUCACUAUCACUAGAAGAAGCAUAAGUGGAGUCUUGAGUACUCACCUUCUUCUCCCUUGCCAUAAGACAUGUGAGACGCUCGUUGGGGAAGAGAGCCGAUUUGUUGAAGGCAGUGGCGGCGAGUCCUUCGUUGUCGGAGUCGGAGGAGGAGCAAUCCGAGUCCCACUCCUUUCCUAGAUGCGCCUCGCCCUUUGCCUUCUUGUAUUGCUUCUUCUUUUCUCUUUUGUUCCCCUUUUCCUGGUCACUUUCAUUAUCGGGACAGUUAGCGAUAAAAUGACCAAGCUUACCGCAUUUGAAGCAUGAGCGCUUCCCCUUGGUCUUGGUCUUGCUUGGCUGCCCCUUGCGACCAUUUAGCGUCGUCUUGAAUCUCUUGAUGAUGAGAGCCAUCUCUUCAUCGUUGAGUCCGGCCGCCUCAAUUUGUGCCACCUUGCUAGGUAGCGCCUCCUUGCUUCGUGUUGCCUUGAGAGCGAGAGGUUGCGGCUCGUUGAUUGGACCAUUCAAGGCGUCGUCCACAUAUCUCGCCUCCUUGAUCAUCAUUCGCCCGCUAACAAAUUUCCCAAGAACUUCUUCGGGCGACAUCUUGGUGUACCUGGGAUUUUCACGUAUAUUGUUCACCAAGUGAGGAUCAAGAACGGUAAAUGACCUUAGCAUUAGGCGGACGACGUCGUGGUCCGUCCAUCGCGUGCUCCCGUAGCUUCUUAUCUUGUUGAUAAGGGUCUUGAGCCGAUUGUAUGUUUGCGUUGGCUCCUCGCCCCUUAUCAUUGCGAACCGUCCAAGCUCGCCCUCCACCAACUCCAUCUUGGUGAGUAAGGUGACGUCGUUCCCCUCAUGAGAAAUCUUGAGGGUGUCCCAGAUUUGCUUGGCGUUAUCCAAGUCGCUCACCUUAUGGUAUUCAUUCCUGCACAAGGAAGCUAGAAGAACAGUAGUAGCUUGUGCAUUCUUAUGAAUUUGUUCAUUAAUGAACAUGGGACUAUCCGAACUAUCAAAAUGCAUUCCACUCUCUACAAUCUCCCAUAUACUAGGAUGGAGAGAGAAUAGGUGACUACGCAUUUUGUGGCUCCAAAAUCCGUAGUCCUCUCCAUCAAAGUGUGGGGGCUUGCCGAGUGGAAUGGAGAGCAAAUGAGAAUGUGAACUUUGCGGAAUACGAGAGUAAUCAAAAGAAAAGUUCGAAUUAACCGGUUUUCUUCUCUCGUAGUCGUUGUGGUCCUCGUCCUUUUGGGAAGAAGUAGACUCGUCGCUGUCGUAGUAGACGAUCUCCUUGAUGCGUCUGGUCUUCUUCUUCUUCCCUUCCUUCCGUCUUUGGCCCGAGCCGGAGUCGGUAGGCUUAUCGUCCUUCGGCUCGUUGACGAAGGAUUCCUUCUCUUUGUCGUUGAUCACUAUACCCUUCCCCUUAGGAUCCAUCUCUUCGGGCGGUUAGUCCCUUUGUGAAGAGAACGGCUCUGAUACCAAUUGAGAGCACCUAGAGGGGGGGGUGAAUAGGUGAUCCUGUAAAAACUUCAAACUUAAGCCACAAAAACUUGUUAAGUGUUAGCACGAUUAUUGCCAAGUGGCUAAGGUGAAGUCUCAACAAAACACAGUACCACAAGAGAAUCAAGCACAGAGUGACACAGUGGUUUUAUCCCGUGGUUCGGCCAAGACCAACGCUUGCCUACUCCACGUUGUGGCGUCCCAACGGACGAGGGUUGCAAUCAACCCCUCUCAAGCGGUCCAAAGACCCACUUGAAUACCACGGUGUUUUGUUUUCCUUUCACUAUCCCGUUUGCAAGGAAUCUCCACAAAUUGGAGUCUCUUGCCCUUACAAGUAUAUGAUCACAAAUGAAACACAGAGUAAGGGAGGGAAGCAACACACACAAAUCCACAGCAAAAGCGCACACACACGGCCAAGAAUCGAGCUCACAAGACUAUCUCAGAGUUCUUACUUAGAACAGAGCUCGAAUCACUUAGAAACAUAAACGAAUGCGUAGAUACUUAGUGUGGAUGAUCAAGAAUGCUCAAAGGUUGCUUGUGUGUCUCCUCCAUGCGCCUAGGGGCUCCUUUUAUAGCCCCAAGGCAGCUAGGAGCCGUUGAGAGCAAAUCCGGAAGGCCAUCCUUGCCUUCUGUCGUCGGGGGCACCGGACAGUCCGGUGCACACCGGACACUGUCCGGUGCCCGAUUUGUUUCCUUAAACGGCGAAGACGACCGUUGCAGACCGUUGGCAGAUCUGGCGCUGUUGGCGCACCGGACAUGUCCGGUGCACACCGGACAGUCCGUGCCGUCUUCCGACCGUUGGUUGGCUCACCGGACAGUCCGGUGCACACCGGACAGUCCGGUGAAUUUUAGCCGUACGCCACCGGCCAAUUUCCCGAGAGCGGCCAGUUCGAGUCGCGCCAGCCUGGCGCACCGGACACUGUCCGGUGCACACCGGACAGUCCGGUGCUCCAGACCGAGCUGGGUCUUGGCAGCACACAGCCAAGUCCCUUCUCCUUUUCUCUAUUCUUCUUCUUUCUGUUUCUAACACUUAGACAAAUAUAUUAGUACUCAAAACCAAUGUACUAAGGCUUAGAAACAUACCUUUACUUCAUGAUUUUCACCUUGUUCAUCCAUGUACAUAAAUUCCCAAUUAAGCACAUGUGUUGGCACUCAAUCACCAAAAUACAUAGAAAUGGCCCAAGGGCACAUUUCCCUUUCAGCUGCAAAGGGGGCGUGGGGCGGUGGUAGUGCGCAUGGAGGCGGGCACGCGUGUGAGGGGCACGGGUGAGUGGUGGGGUCAAUGACCCUGAUGUUUGUGGUCUCUGGUUCCAAGAAUCUUUGCCUCUCUGUAUGGUAAUAACUCCUUCUGUCCUCUUUUCCUGUUUACUUUGACUCAGGGGCAGUGCUUUGAUUCUCACGGUCGGUCCUUUUGACUGAGCGACUGGAUAGGUUCUUCUGUAGCUUAUUCCAUGCUUCAAGGGUAAGCUUCCCGGUAUCUUCUUGGGUAAGGUGCUUUUCUCUUGAGAUGGGUUAAGGUGAGAAUGGAAGCAUAAGGUGAGGAUUGGAUCUAAUUUGUGAUCUGUGUUUUUAGAGAAAACCUUUCUUAAAAAGAAAGAAAACACACAAGCUCAGCAAUGAUAAGCACAAACAAAUCAAAUAUUUUGAAUAGGGGAAUAAUAGAGUUUUUCCAAAGCACGGGCUACUCAGAUUCGGGGGCUAAGCAUAACUACUAUUGCUCGGCUCUUGAACUGAGAACUAUGCUAAAUGCGACUUAUAAGCACUAACGUUAAGGCAUCACAUAUGCACACGAAAGGGGAGAAAACAUCAAGCAAAAUUCAUUUUGAAAUGCCCUAGGGGGCCCACACAAAUAGAGUUUUUCAAAGCACGGGACUACACGAUUACCUCUCAUACAUGCAGGGCUCUAGCCAAAGUGAAGAAAAACUUCACUACCCAAUGCAUGCAGAGGACUGGGCAUACUAACUUCAGACCAGGCAACUUCUCUUCUGGCAAGGCUUGCACACAACUUCAAUCUGAGACAUCUCCUGGAUGGGUUAAGAGGGAGCUGAUGUUGAUGACUUCUUUUGGCGGCGACUGAGAUGGCAGGACAGGGUUGAACUCUUCUUCAAGCGGGACUGGCUCUUGUAGCUCCUCAGAGGGCGGCGAUGCUGGUGGGGUGCUUGCAGCUUCUUCUUUGAGCUCACGGGAUGGUACUGGAAUUUUCUUCAUGGUGAGGGGCUCAAACAACUCUGGCGGGGGAUCUUGGGCGGAUUCGGGGUGCUCUUGCUUAUCCAUAGCCUGAGGGAAGACUGGAAUUCCUUCCAAGACUAUGGCUCCUUCCGGGAGUUCCCAAGCCUUCUUCUCUCCUCUGAUAGAGACCGGGUGACCUUCAAGAAUCUGGGGGUCUUCAGCUCUGAUGGGUUGAACAGGGUUGGAUGAAGCGGGCUCUUGGAUCCGCAGGGCUCUAUGUUGGUUAUGGGUGACCAAGUAGGCCUCCAUCAACUUCUGGACGUGCUCAUCCUUGGCUUGCUUCAGGGCUUCCACAGCAAUGACUUCACGACUUCCAAGGCAGCUACACGGGCUUGAGCUGUGGUGAGAUCCACAUGGAGCUGACGGUUGCGCUUCUCUGCAUCUUCUGCUCGGGCAAUCAUCUGACGGUGGUGCCGAGCCAAGAAAUCAUACUCGGCAUCCAGGGUGAGCAGGUAUGCAGUGAGGUACACGACUGUGGGGUCAUCCUCAAGCAGCUGCUGCUCUUCCAAUGCACGCAUCCUGGCCAUCCAAGCGGGAUGGUCUCUCUGAAAGGGCGGAAAGAAUCUGAGCGGGGUGUCGGCCACUUCUUCUUCAUAGAUCUGACACAGGGCCCUCAAUGCCUUGCGAGCGACGACUUGGCAGGUGUCUUUGAAUCUGUGCCCAGCAUCAGUGACACUCCAUUCCACAUGGUGCGGACUGGAUCCAAUGUAUACAGUCACGACACACUUCUCUGUGCCAUGCUCGACGAAUUCACGACCAUCAUACUCUGGCUGGCUCCUGAUUCCGAGGCGAACUGUGCAUGCUCUCAACAUCUUGGGGAAACCAUCUUCAUUCUGGCAAAACCUGGUUUGGCAAUGAACCUCCAUCUGACUUCUGAGAGAAGGAAAGGGGGAAAGCAUUUUUGAAAUGAAGGGAUGAGAGCAAGAUUUUUUUAAGAAAAUAGUUUUGACUCAAAAACUUUUGAUCAGGCUAAGGGUUACGUCCUGCAGCCAACCUAACAGCUCUGAUACCACCUGAAGCGUCCCGAUCCUCUGGGACUCAAAUGUGAUACAAUUACUAGUCCCAGGAGGCUAGUAAACACAUUUAUACAUCAGAUGAUUCCAGAUCUGCUUAAACGAGACAAACCUAUAAAGGUGGCGAACAACUUUAAGAGUUGGUCCACAACUCGGGACAUAUCAUCAGAGUGGGGCUGAAGCAGCCCGAUAUACGCAGCGAAACAAAUCAGCGGUCCAACAGCCACAGGCAAGGUUGGGAACAGGCGUAACUCUUACCCGAUCUCCUUUUUCUGAAAAAAAUAAAUAAGCAAGGGUGAGUACAAACGUACUCAGCAGCCCACCUUCACCCGCGGAAUGGGGAAAUCAGAUAUAAUGCAUGGAAUAUGUGGAGCUUAGGAUAUUUUGCAGAAACAACAAUAUUUUAUGCAGGGUUGUUUUGAAAAACAUUUGUAUUUUGCAAAGCGCAUCCUCUCCAAAAGGAGCAGGAAGUUUUUCAGUAUUAUAAUAAAAUCACCUGGACUAAACCAUUCAGGUAUCUCAACAGUUUCCCACUGGUUUUCCUUUUCAAAAACAGCUACUGGACUUCCCGUCCACCAUAGCUCAUGGCUCAACCGCCGAACCUUUUAAAAACCACUUUUCUCAAACGCACCCUUUUUGAAAACCAAACAUUAAUUGUCAUACCAUACCAGACUCGUCCAUUCCUGUGGACACAGACUAUUCGAAUAGGUUUGAACUCUGCGCAGAGGGGUACACUUUACCCACUAGUCCGGCUCUGCGAUCUCAUGAUCAAUGAUAUCCGAAUCUGAAUCCCUUUCCUUCCUCGCAUGUCCUAACCUUAACGGUUAUACCGGAAGGAGUCAGGCCACCGCAAUGUCCAAACCGGACAAAACAUUCCCCCUCCUUAUCCUCCCGGUGCUCCCCAGCCUUCGUAACCCUGGGGUUGGACCGUACGAGUUCAGAUUGAGUGACUGCCCACACAGUCUCGAGUGGUUGUACUUAUCAUGAGUACAGGUAGUGAAAGAUGACAAAUCGGUCCUUAUAAGAGGGGACAAUCCUUCUGCUCACGCCUAAACCAGCUGAGCCAUCACCUUAGGCCCUCCCCUAAACCAGGGAGUCCCUGAUCAUCCCUACUCAAAGGUGAUAAGGGUGAAAACCCUUCAUCAUACACAUUUUGAAAAGCAUUUUCUUUUGAAAACUCACACCUUUUCUCAAAUCAUUUGGAACAAAUAUAUCAAGGAUUGAUUGCGGCAAGCGGCUGGGUGGCCAUAAUAACUUGUCUCAAAAUCAUAUCAUGCAUAAAAUAACAGGCUGAGGGUUGUGGUUGAACAAUCAUAGGUAAUUUAUGCAUCAAAGGGAUCCAGUGAGCUUGUCGUGCUUAUCCGGCGAAGGGGAAAGAGGAGCUCGCGGAACUGGCUUCUAGCUCCACUGCCUGGCGUAGACUUGCAGAUCUGGCCUCCAUGAGACGACACGAACGCUCAAUAACUAUGCAACAUGAACAAACAAACAUACAAACCAACAAUUAUACCAACAAAUAUUUAGUAUAGUGGUCAGAAUAGCGAUAUAUGGGUGGGUAGAGUCGUGAGUAGAAUUUGUGUCAUGUGCUGUUGAGAUACUGCUGGUGGUGGAGCGAAGGUGCUUACCAGGAGGGUGGACUGGAGACGAAGCGACACUAUGCGUGUAGCCGGCAGAGCGGAGUAACUGAGUGGGUGGGGUGUUUGCCUUGGCUGAGGGUGUUGAGUGUGUGUGGAGAGGGAGAGGGUAGCUGGGUGUAUUUAUAGCUGAGUGUAGGUGGUGUAGCACAGUGAAGUUCACUGUUGGUGAGAAUAGUGACGAAUGAAUCAUCUCACUUAGUAUGAACAGGAGAGUUAUAGGCAGAAUAUGGGACAAGAGUAUUUUGGGAGUUUUUUUGGAAUAUGGACCAUGCUUAAGGGAUGACAUGGUUGGAUAGGGAAUAGUUUGAUAAGAAUUUAGAAACAAGAAUUAUUGGAAUCGGAGUUUGGAAGCCUGGUUCGAAGGAAUCUUAAAGUUAAGCGUGCUCAACUUGGAGAAACCUGGGAUGGGUGACCAGAUGGGAAGUUCCCACUGGAAGGAAAAUCAUAGUCACCGGAGUUCGUAUGACUGGAAUAUGGGUCUGGCUGGUCUUAGGUGGACUGGACAGCAUGAUGUAUGAGUAGUUGAAAUUUGGGGUGAUCGACUAAUCGAUGAAUAGUAACUAUGAAUAGUGACGGCGAAAAAGUUACUAUAGAUAUCAUCGAUGAGUAGUAACGAUGAUAAAUAGUAACGAUGAUGAAUAGUAACGAUGAUGAAUAGUGUCGGUGAAUUUCGGCAGCAUAACAGCAGGACAAAGAUUAUCUGGAAGAACGAUGAAUAGAGACUAUGAACGAACGAUGAACGAUGAAUAGGAACUAUGAACGAACGAUGAACGAUCGAAUGAUCGAACGAACGAACGAUCGGAAUUUCAGCAGCAUAACGGCAGCAAAAGAUUAUUUGGAUGAACGAACGGACGAACGAUCGAAUGAUCGGACGAACGAACGAUCGGAAUUUCGGUAGCAUAACGGCAGGACAAAGAUUAUCUGGAAGAACAAUGAAUAGGGACUAUGAACGAACGAUGAAUAGGAACUAUGAACGAACGAUGAACGAUCGAAUGAUCGAACGAACGAACGAUCGGAAUUUCGGCAGCAUAACGGUAGGAAAAAGAUUAUUUGGACGAACGAACGGACGAACGAUCGGACGAACGGACGAACGAACCAUGAACGAUCGGACGAACGAUCGAACGAUCGGACGAACGAACGAACGAACUAAGAACAGGGGACGAACGAUCGAAGAACGAUCGAACGAUCCUUGUGCUAGUGUGUGCUUGUGUGGAACAUGGAGUGGGUGUGGGGGGGAAGAGAGUUGCCAUGAAAUGGCUUGGGGUGGGAUGAGAGGAGGCCCUUGCCCCUCUAUUUAUAGCCAUGGUAGGGGGAUUAGGGGGAGGGAUGAGAGGAUUAGUGGGAGGAUGAGAGGAUUAGUGGGAGAUUAGCAUGGAUUUGUCUUAUAUGAGUGUAAUUAGCUUGUAUAGCUCAACGUAUGACACCGGAGGCAUACGUAUACGUAUGAACAUGAAGAAAGUUAUGAAGAAAAUAUUUGUGGGGACUUCAAAAAUGAUUCUGAAGGUAUUUCUCAAGAGGAAAAUACCUGGAGAUAUAUCGGUGGAAUAUUUGGGCAGUAUUUCUGGAAAGAACUUGAAGAGGAUCACUAGGGAAAUAUCUGGGCAGUAUUUCUGUAAACAAUUUGAGGGGGAUCACUGGGGAAAUAUUUGUAGGAUAUUUUGAGGAGGAUUUUAGAGAGAAUAUAGACCACUAUACUUUAUUUGUUGAUAUCAACUCGCAAACAAACAUUUUGAAAUGAAAUUUGAAAUUCAUUUUGAAUUUAGAGCGAGUUUGAGAAAAUUUCAGGAUUUGAAUUUUUGGGAUGCUACACCAUUUCCCAAAGGAACAAGGGAAAUCGUGGUACUGAGUCAUUCCACAACUACGGUGACGAUGGACAUGUGCGCUUGGCUAAGAGAAUGGUAUGUCAUAGUAUGUUGUAACUUCGAAUUACAUAGAAAUGUGUCAUUCUAACUUGUAUGUACAAGAAGUCAAAUCCAAUCGUACGCCCACGGAUGUGGAGGUGUAUAUGCAAGGGCAUAGGGGUUCUGAUCCUCAUGAUACUGAUGUUUUAUGCACUCAGACAGCCACCGACCGUCUAGUGAGUUUUUGGUACUCUAUUAUGUGUUUGUGCAUCAACUCUAUGAUGCAAUUAUAUUUCAUAUGUUUGCCUCCAGGCUUCGUAUGGGCAAGAGAUGGUUCAGCGCCAUGGGCAGGACUACGACUGAAGGAGCCAGCCAAUCGACCCUUGGGCAGCAUAUGCUAGCACAGGAGGACAAGCCCAUGGACGGUGAGAGUAUUUGAUUUGGAUUUCAAAAUUAUUCUCAUAUGCUUGCGAUUGAACUGAGUCCGUGGUUUACUCUACUAAGUCCAUGGUUUACUAUACUAAGUUCAUGGUUCACUCUUGUAGGUUGGGUAUUUUUUAUUCUACGAGUGAUUCUAGGGAGCUGAGACGUUGUGGACGACAGUCCACAUCCUCAUCUUCGCAGUCGUCCCAUUCUCGGUCAUCCACCCAAGAGAUAGAGAUUGCAGUGUUGCGUUAGCAGGCAUAUUAUCAUCUAUCAGUUUUGAGGCAACAAAUGGAGUACUAGAGGUAGCAAGCUGAGUACCAGAAGAAGAAGGACGAGUAUUAUUCAAACAUCUAGGCCCAGAAUCAAGCUCUACUCUCGUUAAGUUGAAGUAACAUUUUAUUUGUAACAACUAAAAAACACAUGAUGUGUACCUUAUUUUCUCAACAAUUGCUUGUAUCUAAUUUGUAGCAACUGGCACAACAAGCGGGUGUCUCGAUGCCAACAUAUGGGAUGUCACCUCCGGACUUUGCACUACCGCCGCCAAUGCUGUUGCCUCCUCCUCCAUCACAAUUCCUUAUGGUAUGUACACAUAUGCGUGUGUGAUAUGUUCAUAGAUGCCUUAUGUGUUAAAAUGAAAAACUUAGUGGUUAAUAUUUCAUGUGUGUGUUAUAGGGCUUUGAGACACCUCCCGCUUCAGUUGCCACACCUGGAGAUGUGUCUGGUAAAGACGACGCAUCAACUUCUUGGGUGAAAAACAUUUUCAAUGCCCAGAGUCUAGCCAGAGGAAGUGGCUAUAACUCCAACCAACCAGGUGACUGAUAAGUGUGAUAGUUUGUCAAAUGUGUUUGAUUUGGAACUAUGUCAGUGUUGAUGCCAAAGACUAUGUGAAUGUCGAACUAUGUCAGUGUUUAAUUUGGAACUAUAUGUUGAUGUAAAAGACUUGUUGCAACUAUUAGGAACUAUGUGUUUACGAAUGUUAGGUGAUGUUUGAGAAUGUAAAUAGUUAUGUGAAUUGAUGUUUGUGAAUGUGAAUAUGUGGUUGUAUAUAAAAUCUGUGUAUAUAUAUGAAAUCUGUAUUUUUCUGUAAAUGUUAGAAAUUUACAAAAAUAGGGUUUUUUGCCACUACUGAAUAUCAUUAUGUCCGACGGCUUAGCAGAGGCCAUCGGACAAAAGGCUCUAUUUUGUUCGGCGGCCUCUCCUAAGCCGUCGAACAUAAUAGAGCCUUAUGUCUCACGGCCUCUGCUAAGCCAUCGGACAUAAGAGAUGUGGGAUCCACAAACGACCAUUACGGUCGUUAGCGACGUUAAAUGUUGAUGUCCCUUUGCGGCCGUCGGACAUAAGCUAUGUCCGACGGCCGCAAAGGGACAUCAACAUUUAACGUCGCUAACGACCGUAAUGGUCGUUUGUGGAUCCCACAUCUCUUAUGUCCGACGGCUUAGCAGAGGCCAUCGGACAAAAGGCUCUAUUUUGUUCGGCGGCCUCUCCUAAGCCGUCGAACAUAAUAGAGCCUUAUGUCUCACGGCCUCCGCUAAGCCAUCGGACAUAAGAGAUGUGGGAUCCACAAACGACCAUUACGGUCGUUAGCGACGUUAAAUGUUGAUGUCCCUUUGCGGCCGUCGGACAUAAGCUAUGUCCGACGGCCGCCGUCGGAAAUAAGCUUUUGUCUGACGCGUUACAACCGAGGGACAGGUACCGUCGGACAUAAGCCUUCGGUCAUCGUAAAUAGCUUAUGUCCGACAACUUAGGGCUUAUGUCCGACGGCUUUGAUCGUCGGAAAUGCCCUGUUCUACUGUAGUGCCUGAAGGUAUUACCAUAACAGCUGCUAGGUAGUGUUUUCAUGUACUAAAUUAACACUUGUGUCGGGCUCACCUAUUGAGCGAAGUACUUGAAACCUGGCCUACCCUCUCGGCAAGUUUGUUUCUUCUUUCAAAAAAUCUGCACCAAAACAAUAGAAGAGUAUGAUCACUAACCAUGAAACCAUUUUGGAAAAGUUGAGGCACGAGUAGUCAAAAUAGUAGAUGUAUGGAUGAUCUCUCGUGAGGCAUAAUCAAUAUCAGCAACACAAUUCGGUUGUUUCAAACUUUCGACAGUGAGAUCGGCCAUGUCAUUUUCGAUAGUCGGCUGCAACCGUCGAAAAUAACCAAUAAUUUCGGCGGUGGUGCUUUGGCCGCCGAAAAUGAAGAGUAUCCAUGUAGUGUUGGAGCGGACAUCUUUGGAUUGGGCUUUCGCAUCCUCACUAUCGUGCCUAUAUGUUGGUCCAUCCACCAUCGCUUGUUCAGAGUUGUCAACAUUUAUUUAGUAUUUGGUCAUGUUAGACUAUCUGUUUGGUUUGCUGCCUCACUUGCCAUAGCUUGCUACACCUAAAGUUAGGCAAGUUUGACCGAGUUAGGCAUGUAUUUGGUUUAUAGUCACAAUUGUGGCAAGAUUUUUCUUCUGCUGCGUAGGUCCCACUCGCCAAUGACUUAUAAAAGUGUGACAUAUUCUCUUAGACAUGCCAGGUCCCACUCGCCAAUGACUUGUAAAAGUAUGGAAGAUUUCCUUAGGCAUGCCACAGUUGUGGUGUAGAAGUUGGCAAAAAAUGUGUGGCAAUUUUUGGCACCUUAAGCGUAGAACCAAACAGCCCUGGAACAACACCACCAGGUGCCGAACAUGGAGUAUUAACAAUCAGGGAUGAAGCGCAGUGUAUUAGAUCAACUCCAAUCUCUACUAUUAUAAUGUAUCGGUUUCGUGCAGGAAUAGAAUUAUACAUGAAACUGUUUCCACCGUCACCAACCACCACCCCACAAACAGCGCCACCAUCCAAUGUCCUGCUCGUCCAAAACCACCGACCCUAAGACAGAGCUGCCAUACAACCCCCUUCACGGCGCAUACGGCGAGCAACAAACCCCCGCAAACACCGCCCCAUGCCCCAACACAGACUCCGAGCUCCUCAGCAUGCGCCUCCGAGCUCUUCAGCGUCGCGCCACCCAUGGGGCUCGCCUCUCAGACCCCGACCUGAACCUACACGUUGUCGCACUCUAGGCCCAGCACAGACUCGGUGGUCGGCGCCAGCACCGCAGGUGUCGUCCGCGAUGCCAGCUCAAGAAGAAGUCCAAGGAGGCAGGCCACGACGGUGGACCCUCAGCUGCUAUGGAUAAGUACCUGCAGAUGUACCAUAGAUUGGAAGACCGCGCCUAAGCUGCCCUCUACCGCUAGCUAGAAAAGCUCGCUGAGAACUUCAUUAAGAAGAAGGCCAAGGAGGCGGGCCACAGCGGUGGACCCUUAGCUAUUGUGGAUAAGUACCUGGAGAUGUAACAUAGAGUGGAAGACCGUGCCUAAGAUGCCCUCUAAUGUAGACGCUAAGAAGCUUAAGACACUAGUAGAAAAAAGGCUCAAUACCUGCGGGACCAUUUAUUUUUACAGACAGAUCCGGUUAUCCACCGACUGUACUAUUUCUAGUGGCGGUUCCUUAAGAAAACUGCCACUAGAAAUCGUAUUUCUACUGGCGGUUCCUUAAGAAAACUGCCACUAGAAAUCGUAUUUCUACUGGCGGUUCCUUAAGAAAACCGCCACUACAAAUCAUGGAUUUCUACUGGCGGUUUUCUUAAGGAACCGCCAGUAGAAAUACGAUUCCUAGUGGCGGUUUUCUUAAGGAACCGCCACUAGAAAUCAUUUUUAUCCUUAAUUUUUCGAGUUUUUCAAACGACCUUGUAUGACAAAACCACCAAAAUAAAAGUUGUAGAUCUCUAAAAGUUAUGAAACUUUGUAGUUGACAACUUUUUUAUUUGAACUCAUUUCAGUUCUCAAAAAUUGAAUCUAAGUAUGUCAAAUUUAAAAUUCAAAUUUUGCAAACUACCUCGGAUGAAAAAAGUGUCAAAAUAAAAGUUGUAGAACUUCAAAAGUUAUUUAUCUUUGUAGUUGACAACUUUUUUAUUUGAAUUCGUUUAGGGUCUAAAAUAAGCAAUUUACACUCAAAUGGUUGUAAUAUGUGGAGAAAACAACUACAAACUAGACACAAAGCAUGUCAUAGACGGAGUGGUAGUGGAGGAUACGCGCGAGAGUGAGGUUGACGGUUCGAUUACUAACAAUCGCGUAGCGCGCACCGGGCGGGUGGGGUGGUCCUAAUACAAAUAAAUUUUUUUACUAUUUUAAAAAUUUGUUUUAUGUUUUCUGGAAACGAUUUGCACUGGCGGUUUUAUUACGUCGACCGCCAGUGAAAAUCGAUUUUCACUGGCGGUCAAUUCCAAGAAUCACAUAAAGUCGAUCUUAAGUUUGACUCUAUACUAUGAAGGAUCUAUCUUAAGUUUGACUGCGCAAAUAAGUGCAGUAUUGUCAAGGGCGAUAAUUAGGGACACCUGAAUUACCCCCUAACAAAUGCACCCAGAGAAAUAAGGACUAAACUCCCAAGGGGUAAUAACCGAGCCACCUAUAAAAAGUCAAGACAUCCCCCUAAGGGUCUCCCACCUCGAGCGGGGCUCCGCCUCACCCGAAGUCGACACCACUCGCUCUGCCUCGCUUGAGGUCGCCUCCGCUCAGUCCGUCUCGCCCGAGCCAGCCUCGAGAAGAUAGGACAAGGGCGCUCGAAAACAGGCAGGGGACAGGUGCAUUUAAUGCGUGUGCCAACCCGCGCUGUGGCAGCGGAGCACAGUGGUGGACAAGAUAGCGAUCACAUCUAAGUGUAGCAGUAUGAUUACACAUGUGCCAAACAGUGCGCGCAUGCCACCUGACGCCCUCUGAUGAGACGCCUAAUACGACAAGCCAAGCGGACAAGUCUUCGGGCGCAACCUCUCUGCCUCGCCCAACCUAAGCUUAGCCCUCGGGCAAAAUCUCCACCUCGCCCGAGCUUGGCCUUGGCCACCGGCUACGCCGCGAAUCCCGCAGACAGCCACUCCGCCCGACUAUAGCGCACGUCAAGGGAUGGCUCAUCUGGCACCUCGAAAGACUUAUGCAUCAACCAAGCGAGGGCUCUGAUCUUGAUGAGUGCUGUAGAGAAUCUCGACGUCACCGCGUGCCAGGGCGCCCUGUAAGCAGCCUUUGGCCCAAACCCCGACGCUGCUACAACCACCACGGCAUGGGCAGUCUCUCCCUCGGGAGCUCGAGCAUACGGACGACCCCUCGGUCUUGGCCUCGGCUCUCCAUGGGAAGUCAGCAAACGCGAAUCUAUUGCACGGUUCGCCGUCACGUCAAAUGUCAGGGCAUCUCUCCUUCAAAAUACAAGACUCAGCUUCACCAUGCGCGCUCCCCUGGGUGUAUAAAUACGGCAGUGGUCCCUCCAUUGAGGGACAUGACCACAACAACAACACACGUAGACGAGUUCUUGUUUUCUCACUCUGUCUUAGAUAUUGGCACUUGCCUCAAUCAUCUCUAGGGACUUGGGGACUUCCCCUCUCACGCCGUGCUUGUAAACCCCUACUACAGGCACCACGGUGCGAGUAAUAUAAGCUUCAUUCCCUCUGCUGGAAGUAGGGCCUUGAGAAGCCCGAACUAGGAUAAUCGCUUGUGUCAUCUUGCACACCAUCUAGAGUCGACCAUACGACAUUUUACUAGUUAGUUAAGGACCCGUGGUCCAGAGACUGACAAGUAUGGAAAUUUUUUCAGGCAUGUGACGCCGACACCUCCACUCCUCCACGGGCCACGGUGCCGCGGCGGAUCACCAGCUCCAUCCUUUGUCGUUCUACCCUCGACUAGUCUAGUGCUCCAUUGCCAGAAAUGUGUCGUCUGUCGAUGUUCCUGGUGCCUCCACCUCGUUCGUGGCACUAGCCUUUGUCGUUCCCUUGGAAAGCGAGACAACAGGUCAAUCAAUCAACUAAGGCAAGAUAUUCUUUCUCGAGUUGUCUUUAUACACCUGUUCAUUCCUUUGACCUCUUGGACAUAAUAAAAAAUGUACCAUGUGUAGUGUCACUUUGUUUUUUGAUGCUCAUGUGAUUUUGUUCCUGGUGUUGUUUUCCCUUACUUUGGACAUACAUGCAAAACAUACAACACAUAGAUCUAAACGAUACAUGGAUGGAUUAUAUUUUUUCCCUGGUAGGUGUACAUGGGCAGACCAAGACUUUAUGAGUCUUCACCUAGGAAGCUAUCAGGAAAUCUACAGCCAUCGUCAUCUUCAUAGGCUAAUACAGCUAGAUCACAGGUGUUCGCUUUCACCAAGUUCAUACAACUACUUCCCUAACAAAUCUACCUCUCAAAUUGAUUUCUCGUACUUGUAAAUAUUCAUCUAGCGCAAAUCGAUUUCCCCUGGCUAGCGACCUAGUUUCCUCCGUUGGAGACACAGCACUGCCGGGAUUUAUCGUGUCACGGUGGAGCAUGGCGCAACGGCGAUGGGAAACAUAGACUGCCGCCAUAGCUCGUGCAUGGCUAGAUGAAGGCGCAAAGGAAUGAGGAAGGCGCGGGAAGAUGAAAUCGCGAGGAAUUGGGAGCGUCGGCAUCUGUGGAAAAAUGUGCAUCGUGGAGGUUGGGUUACGCACAUGACUCGAUCGGGAGCUAGACUAGGAAGCUAUUGUAUCUGUGUUUUUUUCUUUUUUCCCUAUUUUUUGGUUUAGGGAUUGGAUAUCGAGAAUUGUUGGACUUGCUCUUACAUCCCAAUGUGCAGUGUACACUACCGGACAUAACUGCUUUGUCCAGUGCUUCAGGCAAAGAAGAUAAUUUGUCGAGUGUUUGUUAGAUGACACUUGGCCAAGAAGAUAUUUUGCCGAGUGUCAAGGGCUGACACUCGGCAAAGUUAAUGGUCGUCAACUAUAGACGGCUACUGAUGGCCCUUUGCCGAGCGUCGCAUUUCGCCGAGAGCUUGACACUCGGCAAAGCCUCCUUUGCUGAGAGUUUGUCUAUGCCGAGUGUUUGCACUCUCAGCAAACUAGGUCUGUGUCGAGAGGCUUAGUUCACCGAGAGUGGCACUCGACAAAGCAUGCUUUGCCAAGUGCCCAAUAAUUUGCACUCGGCAAAGAGCCGGAUUCUGGUAGUGGUACGUUGGCCAUGACCAUGGUUUGAGAGAGGAGAGAUGUGUGUACUUUUUCGACUGGCCUCCUCAAGAACUGGCUUAACCUAAAACAUAACUUCGUUCUAUUACAUAUGUUCUACAUGGCUUGAUAUACAUUAUGAUACAAAGACGAAUCAUAGAUCAUAAAAGGUGCAAUUUAUUUGUAUCAAUUGCUUGUACAAGGGUUGCAUGAAAUCACCUUAAAAACUUAGACAUAUAAAAUAUAGGAAUACAGGAGAAGUGAUAAAUAAAACAACAAAAACACCAUAUGUAAUUCAAUACACUAGUGACACAAACACACAAAAAAACAUACAUACAAAGUUUUCUACACAAAUAGUAGCAUGCCAAGCGAGAUAGUGAGAAACAAUACACUUCACAGGUGAAUUGCUUUCUCGAUGGAUAGGACAAUAAUAGCAUGCUUGGUUUUCUCAUUCUCAAGGUGUUUGGCAACACGGCGAGCGUACUCUUUGAAUAACUUAUCGAGAAUGGGUUCUCCAAAUUGGCUUGCGACUAGCGGCUGCAUAACUGCUCGUAGGCACUUAGCAACAUUUUCACCGCUCCUAAUACUGUUAUGCACAACAUCACUUUCCAAGUCAUCGUAGGGAUCCCAAUUUGUCUGGAAUACUUUUACAUGAUUCAUGUUGAACAACCCAACUUGCUUUAGUAUGGCCUCCACUUCACCAACCGAUGGUGAAUACAUUGGUAAAUAGAAUGAUUCAAGUUUUUCCUUCUCCACAAGACCCUGCAAAGAUCAAACGUAGUCCAAAUAUUUACUACAAAUUAAAGCCACUACCUAGUGGCUAGUAGAAUGAUUAAAGCAACAGUAAUUUGUAUUUAGUUUACCUCAUCAACUAGGGAUUUCAGUGACUGCGCAAGCAAUCCGUAAAGAUGGUUAGACUCUCCAGUGAACACAUUCUCAUGCUUCCUUCCAAUAAAUGUUAGAACCAUUUGGCCACCGGACACGAGUUCCUCGUAGCGUAGCCUGAGGAAGAGGGAGAAAUCCUUCUGAAACUGUUGUUGAAACAACUUCACCAUCGACGGUGACAUAGUCUUUGUGAUGUAGAUAUCUAGGCAUGUUUUUUUGUUGCCCUCUGGUGCCUAUAUGUAGAUAUACACAGAAAGAGGGUCAAACAAAAAUACAACUAUAGGUUGUUUCAAAAGACUCGAAAGCAUGGACAACAGCAGCCUGGCAUAGGUAGUGCAUGCUGAUUCCACUAUCAAAAUAUACAAAGACGUGUAUCAGUGAACUGCACCUUGUGAGCAUGCAUACGUACCUCAGAGCGCCACUGAAGGCAGAACAAAGAAUGGAAAAGGUGAACACUAUCGCUAGGGAAGAUCCUAGUAUAGUAGGAGCCAGGCAACCCAGAGAUAUAGCACGGAGGAGGCAGUGCCUCGGCUGCCUCACUCUUGUGGUUUAUUGCCGUCAGCUUAUUGAACUGCUGGAUCAGCUGGAAGAGAUUGUUGAAGUCGUUUCCGGGCAGGUCAUUCAGGAAGAACUGAAGCUGUGGGUGGUCAUGUUGUCGGCCAUGUUCUUUGCAAUGGCGAGCUAUGAUGCCAAUCACCUCGGAUACGA
rnacentral:lncRNA from 1 species